UUUUAUCCUACUCAUGCAACAGUAGCACAAUUGUUUCCAAGAUUUCAUAGUCUUACUGCACCAUAACUUUCCGAGCCACAUGGACCGACAAUUAGUUGUCGGAUGAGAAUGUGAGAUUCCAAUUCACUAGGAAGAAAUAGAUGGAAACAUACAAGAAGUGAUUCUGUCAAUAUAUAUCAUAAUAACACGUAAACAGGUUGCACAAUCCAAGUCUGGUGAUAACUAAAAACGACAUGGAAAAAAUAUCUUGUGAAUCUAAACUAAUCUAUAUGAUUGGCAGGGAGCAUCCAGAAUGCUUUAUCUGAGGAGGGAGCAUCAUCCAGCUUGUGCGUCUCCAUACUACCAUCUUUUACACUGAAAAUGUGCACGGUCUGCUCCCAAGGAUACGCCAUGUAGAUGCAGUUCUCUCGCAGUCCAGACUUGCCGACAGAGCAGAGAGCACCAAAGUUGAACAGGGACAAUAGGAACGUUCGAUCACCAAGAUCAUACACUUUUCUCCAUCUCUGCUUUGAGAAAAUCCAUCCUAUGAACUCUUGCACCAUAAAUUGUUUCCGCCCAUAACAGGGAAACCAUAUAGAGCUCCCCGUCCGAUUCCACCAGAAAAACUUGAGCUGGAGCCAGUUCAACACCGUAGAUAUCAUCGACCACGUCGUUGAUCUUGAUGGAACUGAAUACGGGAGCAGGGCAGAAAUCAAGAACACCAAGCUCGAUUUGUGUGCUGUUGAAAUAAAACUUGCCCCCACAUGCCGCAAUCGGAGUUAUGACCUCUUUGUCCUCGGACUGCAGGUCGAGGGCCGGCUGGGUUCCGAUGUCAUAGUCGUGUUUUCGCCACUGAUCGUCUCCGAUGUGACAGUACCAUAUGAAGGUGGCGUAAGGCUCGACCAGAAGCACGACACAGUUUGAAGCGGUGGGCUUGUUGGAGAGCAGGCAGAUGCAGUCUAUGAACAGGUCCUGCUCGAUCGGCAACGGCGGCAGCUCGAUCUUGCCGCGGCUCUGGGGAGUCCACAGGAAGGUGGACAUGGAGGCAGGGCACCUGGCUAGCAUAAAGCCGUGCGUGGCUGGACAGAUCUCCUUGUUCUCCAGCUCGUCGAUGUAGCCGGCGAUUGGCUUUUUCUCCGACACAUCGAAGGUCACCGUGGGUCGACCCGCGCCGUGGUGGAAGGCGAGGCACGGCCAGCGCGCGGCUCGGCGACAUCACUGUGUAUACAGAUCGGUAAUUAGUGAGCUACGGUGGCGGUGGACAAAAGCGGCCGGCGAGAUUGAUGAUCAACCUGCCACGAUCCGCUUCUUAAAUAAUAUGGGGACUAGAUCGGGGAGCCUUACCUUUGGAGUAUAUAGAAGAAUCGGAGUUGGGGUUGGGGCUGGAGUUGGAGUGGGGAUCGGGAUCGGAAUCGGGAUUGUUGGAGACGAUAUUUCUCCCUUCGACUUGAGGUCUCUGCUCCGCCUCCGUCUCCAUCUCCUAUCGCCUUCCCCUUCGCCUUCGGAUCUACUGUAUCUUUCCUCGCACCCGACCUGUUUUUUUUUUCAUUUAUAUAUCUAAAAGUCCAUAUUUAUUACCCUCGAUCGCAAAGUUUUACUCCUCCUUCCUACACUAGUGUCAGAAAAAGCUUUUAUGAAUCACUAUAAAUUUGACAUCAGACUUGUAGAUUUCCAGAUCGAACGUCCCAGCAGCCGUCGAAUGUCGAGUAUAAAUCUUGGUGCGCGAUCGCUUGACACAUCACCCACAACAAGGCUUUUUCACUCGGCAUUUCCCCUCGCGUGAACGAACCUCACCGCGGCGCGGCCUUAUCCACUCAAUCCCGAGAGUCCCCACUCCCCUUCGGUGGUCGCACGUGAGGAGCUCUCUGUGUCGGGGCACAACCGGGUGACACAACCCGUUGUGUCAUCGUCAUCGUCGCGGCCCUGCUCUGCACGCUCAUCUAUGCCGUUGGCCUCGUCGUCGUAGCGCGAUGCGCAUGCUCCCGCCGCAACGCCAAUGCCAAUGAUCUACGAUGGUUUAGCUAGAGUAUUUUUGCUUUAAUGUAGUUUAUUUAUUGACUAUAUAAAAUCCUUCUCUUUACGCAAACAAUAGCGAAAAAAAGGUUAGUUGUAUAUGGACCAUGGCAAUUUAAGUUCAUGGAACAUGGCAAAUUGUCACUUCCUAUUCAACCCUCCUUCAAGGAGGCGGCGGCGUCUGGCGACCGUCUCCGCGGUGGUCAUGGAGCGGUCGAGCGCCCACGCGGCGGCGAGGUCAAGGUCGUUGCGGACCUAGUCGGGCGCCACGUCGCUCUUGGCGAACGCGUAGCGGCAACCAACAUUGCACCAGUCGUACCUCGCCUCGCGCUCCACCUCGGGUACAACGACCCUCGAGCCCGAGGCACCGUUUGUAACCACCACCUCUGAGUUAGUGGAGAAGGAGGCCCCGCGCCUUCUCGAUCACGGGCGACAGUUCCUCCUUAAUGGCGAGGUGGUGGCAACGCGGCAACGACGAGGGUGAGGGAGUCCUGGAUUAAGGGGUCCUCGGGCGUCCGGCCUGUGUAACAUGGGCCGGACUAAUGGGCCAUGAAGAUACAAGACAGAAGACUUCCUCCCAUGUCCGAAUGGGACUCUCCUUUGCGUGGAUGGCAAGCUUGGCGUUCAGAUAUGUAGAUUCCUUCCUCUGUAAACCGACUUUGUACAACUCUAGGCUCCUCCGGUGUCUAUAUAAACCGGAGGGUUUAGUCCGUAGAGGCAAUCACAAUCAUACACGCUAGACAUCUAGGGUUUAGCCAUUACGAUCUCGUGGUAGAUCAACUCUUGUAAUCCUCAUAUUCAUCAAGAUCAAUCAAGCAGGAAGUAGGGUAUUACCUCCAUCAAGAGGGCCCGAACCUGGGUAAACAUCGUGUCCCCUGUCUCCUGUUACCAUCGACUUUAGACACACAGUUCGGGACCCCCUACCCGAGAUCCGCCGGUUUUGACACCGACAUUGGUGCUUUCAUUGAGAGUUGUGCUGUGACGUCGAAGACAGGAUUGAUGGCUCGCCUUGUUAUCAAGGACAGUAUCACCUCCGGAGGAGCCCUAGCCUCAGGCCAAACCCUCCGGCUGGGCGGCUUUACCAUGACCGCCCGUGCAGCCGUCAAGCCGACGAUGACUACUCAGAUCAUCGAAAAUCGUCUCCGUGUUGACUCCGAAUACUCCAAACGGAUGGAUCCGGCGGAGUUGUCGUCUUUAAACGAACUCCUGAAUCGCAUCGCCGCCAUGGGGGUCGCUACAGACUACGAUCGGAUUGGGCUUAAACCCGAUCAGAGAGAAAACAAAUCUCCGCCGAUCACCCAUCAGAUAGCGGUCGUAGAGGAGCAAAACAACAACUCUUCCUCUAUGUUGAAGACGAACUAUGUUCGGAUUUCGGAGCUCGAAGAGCCGGAUACCUGUCUGCGGAACGACACUCCCAGUCCUCCGAACCUGGAAUCGGGCGUUGGGCCUGGAAAAUCAUUUGACAUCCCGGAGCCCGAACUAAUAGCCUCGGAAGUUUCUCAAACUCCGGACUUCAAAUUGGGUCAGGGUUCGGAUUUAAAGCCACCCUAUUUUAUGAAUGAUUCACGAAGGGAUAAAAAUAAAUGCACUAAAGGGAUAUCAACUUAUAAACAACAUAUUUUAUGAACUGUAAUUUGGAGACAAAGAAAGAAACUUUUCUUUGGCAAAGAGAUCAACUAUUAAUCUUGUAUGGAGCACUUUAGAGAUGCUCAGCUAUUGUGAAGGUUUGUUUGUGUCCAUGGAAGGCACUAUAGGGAAUUCUCUCAUGCUUCGACAUUUUGGCAAACAGGAACAUACCGCCGUCGAGCCAAUGUCCUCAAUGUACGAUCCAUUGCAAGGGCAUACAUUAUUGGACCGUAUCCAUGCUAAGGAAGUUUGGAGGAAGCUAGGGCUACUUGAUAUCAUUGAGAAGGCUUUGCUUUUUGAUCGCUCAGGAAGUGAGGUGUUGGAAGAACUAUUUGCAUGCACAUGAGAUAAUACCAAUGCAUAUUGACACAACAUAUUUUAAAGAAAUUGUCUUGACGGCAUCAUGGUAUAUUUGGUGGUUUAGAAGGGGUCUAGUUCAUGGGGGAGAUGUGCCAUCGAACGCACAAGCAGCAAUGUCAAUACAGGUGAUUACAUCUGACAACAUUCGAGUAAUGAGAAAGCAAACUAUGCACAAGAAGAGUUGUUGGGAUAAACCGAGGAAGAGCUUUGUGAUGAUAAAUGUGGAUGCAACUUUUGAUGAAAACAUUAAUAACAAAGGGUUGGGUGCAGUGGCUUGUGACCUUUGUGGUAAGUUCCUUGCUGCAAGCAGUGAUUUCGUUGAUUGUCUGGUGGAUGCGGCGACUACUAAGGCAUUUAUUGUGAGGCAUGGAUUGGAUCUUGCAAAAUGAAAUAGUUUUCAGUCGUAUCAUUAUUCAACCUGAUUGUUUGGUGACCAUUUCUUCUACAACAGUUGCUCCUUAUGUGUCCAAGUGAUUAUGAUCCCUCGAGUUGAAUAUAUGUUUAGUAGGGAUGUCGACAUUGUAGCUCAUUGUCUAGCUAGGGAGGUUGUGCGGCAACCAUGUGUUUGGUUGAGGAGUCUAUGAGUUUUAUUAUUUCUAGCUCUCAUAAAUGAUGUAGUAUUAAUUAUUUGAUGACCAAUAAAGCUAUCCAUGAUGACCUUCCCUCUAACUUUGUGUAGUCACUUAGGUGUAUACAAUAAGAUUUCUAGCUAUUAGACUAGCACCUUUUUUACCUUCUCUCUUUCUCUUACAUUGUACUUCCUCCGUUUCUUUUUAGUCUGCAUAUAAGAUUUGGUCAAAGUCAAACUUUGUAAAGUUUGACCAACUUUGUUGGAAAAAAUAUCAACAUCUACAAUACUAAAGCUAUAUGGUAUGAAAAUUAAUUUCAUGAUGCAUCUAGCAAUAUUGAUUUCAUAUUGUGAAUAUUGAUAUUUUUUCUAUGAACUUAGUCAAAGUUGACAAAGUUUGACUUUGACCAAAUCUUAUAUGCAGACUAAAAAGAAACGGAGGGAGUAUUUAUUAUUAUUAUUUUUGCGAGGAAAACUUUCAAUCUAUUCAUCAACUAUUAUGGUAGUAUAAAGUAUACUAGAGGUAAAAAAUUACAUCCAAGUCUGUAAGACACCUAGCGACGACCUCCAUCAACGCCCCUCCACCACCGGAGCCGGGCAAUCUCUAUUAUAGUAGACAGUAGGGAAGUCGUCAUGCUAAGGCCCUAAAGGGCCAGCGCACUAGAACAACAAUCAUCGUCGGAGAAGAGAAGCAUAUAUCGGAAGGAUCCAAGAUGUAGAGACACAAACGCCGAUCGGAGCCACAGGGAUCCACUAAAUCUUGCAAGAUCUGCCAGAGACAAACUUCCACAUGUCAUCCAAUGAGGCUAGAAGCACUGUCAGGACGGGGGUUAGACGGGUAUUCCAUCUUCAAAGAGCUGCCACCACCUCGCCUCUAUGAGUAGGAUACAAAUCUUAACAAAAACUUAAAAAGACAUUAAAAAAAUGGAGCCCUCCCGUUGAUAAGGCCAUAGGACACGAGGCAGAUCGUCGGUGGCGCCGGCGGGAGGCACGGAAAACCCUAGCGUAUGGGCAUCCUUCGAACGAGUGAAGGGGUGAUGAUGCCGCUUGUUAGUGGCGCCUAUUGUAUUUAUUACUUUGCCUAGGAGCGGUGUAUAGCUAGGUUGUUGCAUACCCACUCCCACCAUUUUUUCAUCUCUUACUCCUUCACAUAGGUAAAAGUGCCAUAUAGGUAGGCCAAAAGCCCAUUAUUAUAGUUGCUUUUGGAUACGUCGUAAUUUCACAACAUUGGACUCACAUCCGUCCCAAAUCUGGCGGGCUGUGUUGGAGGGUCGGGACAUCACGGUUAGAUCGGCGUAUAGAAUGAUUCAGAUGACAAGGCAGGCUGAGGACUUUUGGGCUUGGAGUGAAGAGAGGAAGGGGAACUUCACGGUUAGAUCGGCGUAUAGAAUGAUUCAGAUGACAAAACUGAGCCAUGAAGCAUGGUUAUAUGAACAGGGCGGAUCUUCUCACUCAGUUUCGGAUAGCCAGGGAUGGACGAACUUAUGGGGUAUCAAAGUUCCGUCCAAGUUGAAAAAAUUUAUGUGGAGGUUGGCCCAACACUCAAUCCCGAAGCAGCUUUUCUGAACCACCGCAAUAUGUCAAACACGAGCUCUUGCUGCCUUUGUGGAGCGGAAGACACUUGGAGGCAUGCACUUCUGAAUUUGCCGUGUCGAGGAGCACAUGGGCACUCUCAUCCGAGCCGAUCAUAGAGAUGUUGAGCACUAAUGUUGAUGAUAACGCAGAUGGUUAUUUUCCAUGCAUGAGUCAUUACCGCAUGACGAAUUUGUUACCUUCGUGGUCACUUUGCGGGCUCUGUGGGGAGCACGUCGGAAGGCAGUGCACGAACAGAUUUACCAAAGCCCAUACUCCAUUCAUGGAGUUGUGCAAUCAUAUCUUGGAGAACUAAAGGCCAUCCAAACAUUUGUACCCCAACCCACUAGAGGUGUCGUGGUGCGCCCAACACAUUGGAUUGCUCCUUCGGUUGGCUUAGUGAAGAUCAAUGUAGAUGCAGCGGUCGGGAGAGGAGGACGUUAUGGAGCAGUUGGGGCGAUCUGUCGAGACCCAACAGGCCAAUUUCUUGGCGCUUCUGCGGUUGUGUUCCGAGUUGUCUCUGAUCCAUCAACACUUGAGUGCAUGGCAGUAAGGGAGGCUCUCGCCUUGGCGGAUGAUUUAUAUGAAAAAAUGAUUCAAGUUUUUUCAUAUUGCAAGGUGGUGGCCGAGGAUAUUCGGGACAGGAACGCCACAGUUUAUGGAGCAAUUAUACAUGAAAUCAUAGCGCAUAAGUAUACUUUUCUUACUUGUAAUAUUAGUCAUGAAUUCAGGAGCUCGAAUGUCGAGACUCACAAGCUCGCGAAGCAUGCUUUAUCCCUACCGGCUGGCCGGCAUGUGUGGUUGGGUCAGUCGGAAGGACUUCCUUUCAUCCGUGUAAACAUUGUGACGGUUGAAUAAAAAGCUUCGGAGUUUGUCUAAAAAAAACUGAUUUGCUGGAGAUGCUUUGUGCAAAUUUAGUGUUCAAUGCAGUUGCUCGAUGCUUUUGAUAUUUUGUGUUUCACAACUAGCAAGCUCAACUUUUUAUACUGAUUUUCUUUGUUUUUUUGUUUUACAUAAAUCCCCAUACAAUUUAAAUCUUAAGGUUGAAUUUUGUGUGUUGUAUAAUAUUUAGAACGGAUUUGCUAUUUCACAUCUAGAUGUGAAAUAGCUAUCUCACAUCUAAGUCCCUCAUCCUUGGAUUUGUUUUGUCUUUAAAAUUCGUGCACUGAUGAUUUGACGAUUUGUUCGUGUUUGAUUGUACGAUCUGGCGAUUUGUAGCGUGCGCUCGCGCAGCCCGCAUGCAGCGUGCCAGCGUGGGCUAGCCCAUGUGUGCUAGAGUGGGCUGCCUUUCCUUUCUGUUUUUUUCCUUCUUUUGUCUAUUGUUGUAUUGUCACGAUACACUGCAGCUGUCGCAGUUUGUGAGGUAUUUUUUGUCUUUUUUCAUUUCUUUUUUCUCCCACUUGUGAUACUGUGACAUGUGUAUAUAUUAGAUGACGUGUGCAGGCAUCUCCUUUACGCGUGUAUAUACCGUAUGAUUGUUCGUGCAUAUUUGUUGUUGUUUUGAUUUGUAUUCAUCUAUGCAACGUGUCCAUGGAAUUGUAAAUCAUGUAUCGAAAUCAUUUAUAUUCAUGUUCAUUUGUCCCACGGAAUUUUUGUAAAUCAUGUUCAUUUUACAGCCCAUCACACCACGCGUCUUUCUUUUUUGGGCCGUUUUUCGUGGUCUUUUUUCUGUGUUGUAGUUGAAGAUAAGUGUUGUCUGUAUAAGUUGGAGAGACGAGCUGACCGCUGGCUCGUCGGCUCUGUUUCUUCGCUCUCUCUAUCCCAUUGCUCGUUGUCUAAGGAGUAGAGGCGACCCGGCCAAGUUUCUAAACGGUACAAUGACGGGCAACGGCCAAUUUAUUGUUUUUAUUUUUGUUCUCAUAUCUAACCCUAAUAUGUAAGAAUCUUGUGUCUUUUUGUUAUUCUUGUUCCAGUUGCAAGUUGAUCAUCGACAUGUAUCUGGGUCCAAACCGUUUUGGUCCUACAAGUGUACUCCUAACUGGGUUCGCCUUUUUAUUUUUUAUUCUAGUUACAAGUCGACCACCGACAUGCAAACUGGAGCUCGUCUCUUUUUUUUUAUUGUCGCAGUUGCAAGUAAACCACCAAGAUGCAACUCGGCCCAACAUAUUUUUAUAUUAUGUUGCAAGUUUGCAUCUUAUUGUUGUAAUUUUCGCGUAAACUUUUGAUCUCCCAGCGUUGGAUGAUGUAUUCCCGUGUCUCCUUGUUAUGUUUUGUCUACUUGUCCCUAACUGAGGCCCAAUCCAUUUUUUGUUCUAGGUGCAAGUCCAACCACACACUUGACAUGCAAUAGAGAUUCCAUCUUUUUAAACUUUUGUUUUUUCUCUUUUGUAGUCUUAUAAAUCCAUGAUUUUUAAAAUUUUAUAAGUACUUUUUAAAUUCACCAUUUGAUUUAUUUUUUGUCAUUUCCUGCAAGCUCUACCUUCCGCCUCCCUUGUCGUUGUUUGUUUAUUGUGUAUCCUGUUGUUGGCCUAGGCCUAUUCGACUCCGCUUUUAUUGGCCCUCAACUCAUAAUUGGGGUCUGACCUUUUUUUGUCCUAGUUGCAAGUCCACCCUCGACUCGCAACUGGGAUCCAUUUUUUUUGUCCCAUUUGCAUGUCCGCCCUUGGCUCGCAACUCGGGCCUGGCUUUUUUUGUCCUAGUUGCAAGUCCACCCUCGACUCGCAACUGGGGCCUAAACUUUUUUUGUCCCAGUUGCAAGUCCGUCCUCGACUCGCAACUCGGGUCCGACAUUUUUUCCUCCCAAUUGCAAGUCCGCUCUCGACUCUGGGACCCGGACUUUUUUUGUCUUAGUUGCAAGUCCAUCGUUAACUCGCAACGGGGCCAGACUUUUCUUUUCUAUUUGCAAGUCCACCCUCGACUCACAGUUCGGGACCGAACCUUUUUGUCCCAGUUGCAACAACCCCCUUGACUUGUAACUCGGACCUGGCCCUUUUUUGUCCUAGUUGCAAUCCACCCUUGAGUCGCAGCUGGGCCUGACUUUUUUUCCUGGUUGCAAUUGCACUCUUAACUCGCAACUGGGUCUCAAUAUUUUUUUAUCCUAAUUGCAAGUCCACCCUCGACACACAACUGGGGUCCAGCCUUUUCUUUCUAGUUGAAAGUCCAACUGUGGCCAAACCAUUUUUGUCCUAGUUGCAAGUCCACUCUCGACGAAACGGGGCUAGACUUUUCUUCCCAAGUUGCAAGUCCACCAUCGACUCGCAACUGGGGCCCAACAUUUUUAGUCCGAGUUGCAAGUCCACCCUCGACUCAUAACUAGGGCACAACCUUUUUUGUCCGAGUUGCAAGUGCGUCCUUGACUCGCAACUGGGGCCCAACCUUUUUUGUCCGAGUUGCAAGUCCACUCUCGACUGCAACUAGGGUCCAACCUUUUUUGUCCAAGUUGCAAGUUCGUCCUGGACUCGUAAUUGGGUUCCAACCUUUUUUGUCUGAGUUGCAAGUCCACGCUCGACUCGCAACUAGGGCCCAACCUUUUUUGUCUGAGUUGCAAGUUCGUCCUCGACUCGCAACUGGGGCCCAACAUUUUUUGUCCGAGUUGUAAGUCCACCCUCGACUCGCAACUACGGCUGAACCUUUUUUUUUCUGAGUUGCAAGUUCACCCUUGACUCGCAACUGGUGCCCGCCAUUUUUUUGUCCUAAUUGCGAGUCCACCCUCGAUUCGUAACUGGGGUCGACCUUUUACCCCAGUUGCAAGUCCACUGUCGACUCGCAACUGGGGUUCGACCCUUUCUAGUCCCAGCCGCAAGUCCACCCUUGACUCGCAAUUAGGGUCCAACCAUUUUUUGUCCCCAGUUGCAAGUCCAAACUCGACUCGCAACUGGGGCCCGACCUUUUUUGUUCCCAAUUGAGAGUCCACCCUCGACUUGCCAUUGGGGGUCCAAUAUUUUUUUCCUAGUUUCAAGUCCACCCUAGUCAGCGAACAAACUGCAGAUGAGCCGGCCCAAGUAGUUAUGAUACCUUUUUUUUUGUUUUGUUUCAUUUUCUUCAUGUUCUUUCUGCUUUUUUAUUUAUCAUGUUUCUUCAUUGUUCUUCAUCUCCUUUUUAUUUUUCUAUUUUUCAAAAGUUGAUCUCAUUGUUUUUCAUAUUCUGAUAAUUUUUGUUUGUUCAUAAAUUCACAAGUUUCAAUACAUGUUUCAAAAUUUGUAAAUUAGUUCAUUUUUCUAAAAUUGUUCAUGUUGAUCAGUUUUUUAAAGCAAAUCAAAAUGUGUUUUUUUUGUCUUGUUAUUUAUCUAUUUUAUCUAUUUUGUUUUUUCCUGUUCGCUUUUAGUUCAAUGUAUAUAAAAAAGUUCACUUUUAGUUCAUCGUAUAUUAAAAAGUUCAUGUAUAUCAAAAACAAUGUUCAGUGUGUAUUGGAAGAAAAUAGUGUGUAUUUAGUGCCAGGAAUCCAAAAGAAAGAUUUUUCUUUUCUAAAUUAUAAUUAUUCAGUCAAUUCAAAUAAGGCGUAUCUUGUUCAAGCCAAUAAAUAGAGCUGGGGUUAUAGUUAAAGCAGCCAGUAGAAAACCAAAAUAACUAGUUAAAGUAAGCAUGAAAGAGUUAAAUUCCAUUUUUUUACUACACUACAUAUGUUGGUAAAGCAUUUACCUAAGUUAUGGAAAAUUCAUAAUUCAUCAGUUAUUUUAGAUAAUACUAAAAAACAAGAUAGAGUAAGAUACAGAAGUGUAAAAGAAAGUGGAUUCAUCAGGUCAUAUAAAGCAUUGUUCACCAUAUAUUAGAACAUUUUUGGUAUUCGUUAACAUUUUUUAGAAUUUGAAAAAACUUAUGUAAAUUCGUGAACAUGUUUUUGAAAUAUGUGUUGAUGAAAUUUUGUUCUUUACUGAAAAUUAAUUAUAAAAUAUAAUAGUGAAAAACGCAAAAACAUAAAGGCAAAAAAUAAAAUAAAUCGUUGGUUGCCUAGAAGCUAGCUAUGGGAGAUGUCCUUGUAAAUGUAUAAUGAUCAGAGGCAAAAGCUAACAAGUCGAUUUAGCACUAGCGAUCAUUUUGUUUUCCAGAAAAAGCUAGCGAUCAGGUUCCUUGUACGGGUAGCUAUCAACCAGAAUUUUUUUUACGAGAGGAGUUAGUGACCAGAUUUGCGUAUAGGCUGGUGACCAAGGCGGACACAUGAGGAGGUAAUUUUUAGUUUUGGACAUUGACAAAUUAAAAUCAAACAAACAUGACAAAUAAAUAGGACAAAAAAAACUUAGAUAUGAGAUAUAUCUCACAUCUAGAUGUGACAUAGACGGACUCUAUUUAGAAAUCAAAUAUCUAAUUUCGGUGUCCGAGCACGGAGGUAACUCAAAUAAAUCGGGCUGAAACCUGUAUCCACACGAGGCUGGACACGCAUACCCGUUUGGCGUCUUCAUAAAAGGCUCACGUACUCCACGGCCCCUCCACAUCGUCGAUUCGCAGCUCGCUCGCCAAUCCAACCAAUCCAUAACCCGGCUGCCCCUCGCCCGUCUCCGCCGCACCCCCCAAAACCCUAGCUCCCCUCCCCACCCCGCCCCCCACCGCCGCCGCCGCCCGCGAAGAUGCCGCCGAACCUCGAGUGCCGGAUGUACGAGCCGCGGUUCCCGGAGGUGGACGCGGCGGUGAUGAUCCAGGUGAAGCACAUCGCCGACAUGGGCGCCUACGUCUCGCUCCUCGAGUACAACAACAUCGAGGGCAUGAUCCUCUUCUCCGAGCUCUCCCGCCGCCGCAUCCGCUCCAUCUCCUCCCUCAUCAAGGUCGGCCGCCAGGAGCCCUCCAUGGUGCUCCGCGUCGACCGCGACAAGGGCUACAUCGACCUCUCCAAGCGCCGGGUCUCGGAGGAGGAGGCCGCCACCUGCGAGGACCGCUACAACAAGUCCAAGCUCGUCCACUCCAUCAUGCGCCACGCCGCCGACACCCUCGGCGUCGACCUCGAGCCCCUCUACCAGCGCAUCGGCUGGCCGCUCUACCGCAGGUACGGCCACGCCUUUGAGGCCUUCAAGCUCAUCGUCACCGACCCCGACGGGGUGCUCGACGUCCUCACCUACGAGGAGACCGUCGUCGGACCCGAUGGCGAGGAGGUUCGUUCCCGACCCCCCUCCCCUCAUCUGCUCGUAAUUGCUCGAUGGCUAAUUAACUGCUCAAGUAUUGGGUGUACUCGAAGCAGUACCAUCAAUUUACUUCGGGCAGGUUGUUUGUUGUAUAACUUGACACUAAUAUACCAACCGAUUAGACCUUUACAUGUGUUUUUCAAGUAGGUAUUCCUUAGUUAGUAGUACUGCAGUCUGUUUAAUUUUGUCCUGUAUCCAAGUUGCCUCACGAACAGUUAAUGUCUAGUAGCUGAUUUGGAGCCUGUACUUAAUAAUUACCUGAUGUUCUUUGGAUUAGUCGAUUCAAGGAUAUUUGUUGCUUCAAAUUGGUUGGUUGAAAUAUGACGGUGUAGUUAGCUUGGUUCUUUGUGACUGUUCGUCGUCCUGACCCCCUCCCAGCAACUGCUCCUUGCUGCCAAUGGCUAAUUAACUGCUAAUGUUUGGGUGUACUAGAAGCAAUGCUAUCAAUUCACUUCGGGCUGCUAGUGUUAUGACUUGACAAUUAAUAUCUUGCAAUAGAUUAACUGCCUACGUGUGUUUCUCAGGCUAGGUAUUUGUUGCUAGUGCAGUCUGUUAAUUUUUCCAUUGUUCCAAUUAUUGGCCAGUUAAUCGGCAUCUCGGCCAGUUGAUUGAUACUUGGUGGGUCAUCGAAUAGCCGAUUAACUGAUUUAUCAGCCGAGUAACUGGCCGAUUCGCCUAUAUUACCCCGCAUCGCCACCUGACCGAUAUGACACCAGUUACCGAUAUCCUGAACAAUGAAUUUUGCCCUGCCUCAGUACUGCAGCCAUGAACAGUUUAUUCAUAGUAGGUGGUUUGGAGUCUGUAUUUAAGUUACUAUUGUGCAUAGAAUUAGUAGCUUCAACAUGUUGCUUUGAAUAGGUUCAUUGACAUAUGGUAAUAUACUUUAGCUUCAUUCUUUAUGUACUUAAGCUUGGUGGCCAGGAGGUUCGUUCCUGACUCCUCCCCACAAUUGCCCCUUGCUGCUAAUGGCUAAUUAACUGCUUAAGUAUUGGGUGCACUCCAAGCAAUGUCAGCAAUUCACUUCAGGCUGGUGGUAGUGUUAGGACGUUUACAUGUGUUUCUCAAGUAGGUAUUUGUUGCUAGUACAGUCUGUUAAUUUUGUCCAGCAUCAAAGUUGCCCCAUAGACAGUUAAUUCUUAGUACCUGUUUUGGAGCAUGUACUUAAUUUCCUAAUGUGUAUAGAAUAAGUCGAUUUAAGGAUAUCCAUUGCUUCAAAUAGCUUAAUUUAGCUUGAUUAUCAGUGUACCGUUGAUUGGGCCUAUGUAAACCUAGUAGCUUAGUACUCCCUCUGUAAACUAAUUCUUAGUACCUGUUUUGGAGCAUGUACUUAAUUUCCUAAUGUGUAUAGAAUAAGUCGAUUUAAGGAUAUCCAUUGCUUCAAAUAGCUUAAUUUAGCUUGAUUAUCAGUGUACCGUUGAUUGGGCCUAUGUAAACCUAGUAGCUUAGUACUCCCUCUGUAAACUAAUAUAAGAGCGUUUAGAUCACUACUUUAGUAUUCUAAACACUCUUAUAUUAGUUUACGGAGGGAGUAUUUGUAAGCCACAGACAGUAGGUUGUAUAAACAGUUAAGCGUAAAUUGAAUGACAAAAUUAAUAUCUUGCAACCGGUUAGAUGUUUACAUGUGCUUCUCAAGUAGGCACUCAUUUGUUUCUACCGCAAUCAGUUAAUUUUGCCCUGCAUCGAAGUUGCCCCAAGAACAGUUAAUUCCUAGUGGUUAGUUCGGAGUCUGUAUUUAAUUACCUAAUGUGUAUGAAAUUAGUCGAUUUAAGGAUAUUUUGUUGCUUCAAACUGGUUGGUUCAAAUAUGGUACUCCCUCCGAUCCGUAUUACUUGUUGCUCAAGCGGAUGUAUCUAGAAGUUUCUCAGUGCUAGAUACAUCUGUUUGGCGACAAGUAAUAUGGAUCGGAGGGAGUAAUAUACUUUAGCUUGAUUUGCCUACUAUUGAUUGAAUUGAUGUAAACAUGGUAAGUUAUAUUGGUUGGUUUGGUAGUUUGUGUAAGCAAUUGGAAAUUAGGUACCUGGGUUUCAUUCAGAUUCGUUCGCUUAUGGCAGAUUGGCAGUAUGGUAUGAAUCAUAGAUCUCAUAGAAAUUGGACGUUUCCCACGAUUCAUUUGCGCUGACAUUUUCUACAGGUGACUAAAGUUGUGCCGGCGGUCACCCCUGAGGUUAAGGAUGCCCUGGUCAAGAACAUAAGGAGGAGAAUGACACCACAGCCUCUUAAGAUUCGUGCUGAUGUUGAGAUGAAAUGCUUCCAGUUUGACGGUGUUCUCCACAUUAAGGUUCUGUUUGCUUCCAUCCAUGCAUUUUGGUUUCCAAGUGUAUGCUUGGUUGUGAGUUGCUAAUUCUGUUUUACAGGAAGCCAUGAGGAAAGCUGAAGCUGCUGGAAACGCUGAUUGCCCUGUGAAGAUUAAGCUAGUUGCUCCUCCGCUUUAUGUUCUGACCACACAGACACUUGACAAAGUUGGUUAUUUCUUCCAUUCAUUUAUGUGAUUAAUGUUGAUUCUUUGACUUUUUUUUCUUCUUUGCUUAGAAAAUAUAAAUCAAAACCCAACGCACAGAACUGUUAGUCUUUGCAUGGAGGAGUAAUUUAAAUAAUGUUUCGGGCUGUCUUGUAACUAAGUAAUCAGGGAGUAGUAGUCAUUUAUUUUGCUGGGGAAAUUGGCAUACAUGUUUUAGUAGAUGGAUGGAGAAUACCCGGGUAUUAUUGACACCUUUAAAUUUCAUUAAAAUCCAGAUCCCCUUGUGUUGACUGUUGAGUAUUUCUAUUAUGCAAGGCAGUGGGUACUAUGUAUUCACACAUCUCUUAAAUUUCAUUAAAAUUCAGAUACCCUUGUGUCGAGUAUUUCUAUGAUGCAAGGCAGUAGGUACUUUGGAUUCACACAUCUCAUGAUGCCAAUGUAUGGUUGGGGUUAUUCAUAAUGGAAGGAGGUGGAAUCAGGUUCCCCCGAUUAUAUGAGCGUGGGUGGGUGGGUUGGGGGUUUGAAUGUGGGCGGGCUGACUGUGCAUACGCGUCACUCUAGCCAACUGAGUAGAGCCCAUAUCUCGUUGUGUUAUUCGUGAAUUUUAGUAUGUGAUCCAGUGACAUGAAAUUUGCUGAUUUUGUGUAUUGCUGUUGUUAACAGGACCAGGGGAUAGCAGUUCUGACAAAUGCAACCAAAAUUUGUGCCGAGGCAAUUGAAAAGCACAAGGGGAAAUUGGUGGUGAAGGAAGCAGCUAGAGCUGUAAGUUCCUCAUUAUCUGUGCUCAACAAAUAAUCAGCAAAAAGAAACCACUGCCGAUUCAGAGAUCUGCAAGCUUUUCUACUCAGUCCCGCCCAUGAUUCAUGUUUUAUAACUUCCCUGUGCAGGUGAGCGAGAGAGACGACAAGCUGUUUGCGGACACGAUUGAGAAGCUCAAGCUAGCAGGUGAGGAGGUCGACGGCGACGACGAUAGCGAGGAGGAGGACUCUGGCAUGGGAGACGUAGACUUCACAAAGGCUGGCGCUGGCGCGGACUGAGCGGGUCUCCUCCCAGGUGGGAUGAGAUUGCUUGUACAGCGCCAGCAAUGAAGGGGAAGAAUGUUUGGCUCCUCCUGUUUGUUUGAGGAGGCACGUUGGAUGGAUGGACGAGUGUUUACUCUGUUAUUAGAUAUUGAUGAUCAGUUGUAGGCUACCCGUAGUCUUACAGAUUGAUUUGCUUUUCGCUGAGCACUGAUUCUGAAUACUGUUAAUUGCGCUUUUGCUACCUGUUUUCAUCAGCAUUUAUACAUGGAUUUUGCUUAUCGUUGCUCACUAAGUGGAAUUUGGUGCAUGACACUGAGCUUACUUGCCCUGUUCUUUGAACUUUUGACUAUUACUCCCUCUGGAAGGAAAUAUAGUAGUGUUUAGAUUACAAAUUUAGAUCUAAACGCUCUUAUAUUUCUCUACGGAGGGAGUACUAUGUGCUGCAAUCAUAGGCUCCGCCUAUGAUAACUUUGCAUGUGCUUGAAAUGAUGUCUGCCGAAUGCACGCUAUAUUUUGUGUUUUGAUGACUGUUGGAGUUGUACUGAAAUUACGCAACAGACGUCUCGUUUUCGACACUUUCUACGUGAGGUGUUGUCUUCUGCUUCGUAGCGAAUUGAUGAUAUAGCAGCUAAAUAAGUCUCAUUCAGCAAGAAGCACCAGUGGUCUAGUGGUAGAAUAGUACCCUGCCACGGUACAGACCCGGGUUCGAUUCCCGGCUGGUGCAUUCAUUUUUUUGCCUGACGACGAAUGAUGUUUCGUUUUUGCCUGAUGAAAUGAUGCGCAUACUUUUCUUUUUUGAAUGCCACGAGAAGAAAGAAAGAAAGGGGGCCUAAAGACAAAAAAAAAACCCUUUUCCUCUGCUCAAGUUUCUAUGGAACAGAACACGUCAUGCGUGCGCGGUGUUCGCUUUCUGUCCAACGAAACCUAGCACACAACAAUCGACGCAACAGUCUGCCUGUGUCCUUUACUUUCGGCCAUGGAGUUUCGCUCAAGUCAAUGUCUCAGCCCAUAUACAGGAAAUAAAUUGAAUCGUUCGGCUAACUCUCCUCGUACGUGUACUGUUGUAUGCUAGUCAGUCUGGAUGCGAGUGUCGUAACGAAGAGCGGAUGCGAGUGUUAAUGUGGGUGUUUCUGUCACACACAAGUGGCCACAAGUCUGGUGUGAAUUUACUGUUUUGGUAUGUGCAAAGAUUAGUCUCAUAUUGAAAACACAAGUAACCAGAGGUUGAAACAAAGUAACGAGCGUAGAAAGUAAAUAACAUAAAAGUAAAGUUAUAAAAGUAAACUAUCGGUUUGUCUAUAGUAGGAAGUUAGGCGUUGGGAAACUCGGAUUAUGGUGUACAUUUGAUGUGCCUGUGCAUCGGUAAUACUAAUUACAUAUUUACAUUAGAUGUGCCUGUGCAUCGGUAAUACUAAUUACAUAUUUACAUUAGAUGUGCCUGUGCAUCGGUAAUACUAAUUACAUAUUUAUAUGGUUAAUUAUACUCUUCGAUUGUAUGUUCGAUAGGUAGGUCACCGUUGAAUAGUUAACUCCUCCAUGCAUGGAUUGUUCUCCUCUAUUGUCCUGCAUCAACCCUAUCAUAUGCAUGGUCAUUUUAGCAAUUAAGAUUGUAAGACCAGACCAAUGCUUUACGUGUCGUGGAUUCUGGUUAUCCUCAUAUUGUCUUUGCUACUUGUAGAUAUGAACACCCGGUGACGUAACUGCAGAGUGGGCAAAUGGUCCAUUGAGCAUCCUGUAAAUCGACUCAAUACUUCACUGUAGCUGUAAAAAAUAAUCUAUACUUCACUAUAGCUGUAAACAAAACUAGUAGGCUGCUCAUGCCGAAAAUGAAAUAUUGCACGAUCUGAUCGCUAGCUCCCUUGUUUCCUUCAUACAUUCUAUAGAUGUUGUUGUCUUAACUGUCUAUGGAUGUCCGUACAUGAUGACUAAGUCCAAUUAUUCCAUGUAUAAUCAUACUCAUAGAAAUUCCAUGUAUAAUCAUACUCAUAGAAAUUCCAGUUUAAUCCAUACGCAAUUGUAAUUCGUCCAUCACGCCAUGUUAUCUUUAUUUGAAGAGAUGCCGCUAGCGAAACUAUGGAUCCAAUCCAUUCAUCCCUAUUGCUUUGAACCUCCAUCAUUGUACUUUUUUUUAUUUCUUUUAUAAUCUAAAUCUUUAUUUCUUUUGUGGCAAUCAAUACUUUCAAACACAAGUUGCAUUAAUCCUUGCAACAAGCAAGGCUAGUAAGACCGACAAUUUUACUAGUUUUGUUUGGGGCCGAGGCAACUUCUGUAUUUGCAUGUGUAGGUAGUGAUCAUUGACUGCAAUUCAAAGCUCCUACGGGUUCCAUAAACCUUAAGGUCAUUCACUUGAUGAAAAUUGAUACUUGCUACAACCAUCUGCACUUAGGGGCCCAACACCUUCCUACGUUAAAGGAAGCACGAGGUGGCGGCUAGCAACACGUGCACAAGGCAGGCCGAGCCAUCGAGGCAGGAACACCACCGACUUCUCAUCUCUCUAAUUCAAAGUAUGUUUUCCAUCUUCUUCAAUUUAAAGUAUGAUUUUGCCUUCAAGGUUUGAUUUAAUUGUGAGUGUGAAUGAAAAAUCAAAACUGAUAAAUUCAGACAACUGAUUAAUGAUUACUGUGAUUUCAUUCGGACUCACAAUUGAUAACUUAAACUUUUUAAUUGAAGAAUUGUUGCAAAAUUAAUCAUAUUGAUAUGUUCUUUCGAUAAAUUAUAUACUAGUGAGCAGUAACGAAGUUAGGCGAAAUCUGUCAGGGGAGAGCCAAAGACAUAAUAUGAGUUGUAAAAUUACACUUAUCAGUAUAUUCUUUUAAUUUAUACUAGUAUGCAGUGUUGGAGCUAGUUUAAAUUUGUUGGAGGUGGGGCUGAGGACAAAGGCUAAUUUUUUUCCCAUCUAAGCCCUCUCAUGAAUAAAUUCUUCAUAAGUUGGUUCAAAUGGGGGGAGGGGGGCAUUGGCCCCCUCAGCUAAAUAGCCUAGCCCUAUGUUGGUAUAUUGUAUUCAUGAUGUAAACACUUUUUAUAUCGAUUGGACCACCCUAAUCCAAAAUCCUGGCCACGCCACUAGAUGAAGAAGAGGGGACGGAAAUUUUUUCCCAAAGGAGGAUUAAUUGUUGUAUGAGUCGCUGUUGGCUACUCGUAUCGAUCCAUUUCAGAGCAUGGAGCAAAGGGGCGUGACAUUUUGGCAAAACAUGCAUAAUUGGUUUCAUGAACAAAAGCACUAUGACCCCCACCGCGCGGAUUAAUUGCUGUGUCAGAAAGCUGCACCCUUAUCCUUAGGAUUUGCAACAAGGGGAGGGGGUCCCAUUGAUGUUCAUCUCGCUCUAGGCCAGUUAAGCCACAAGAAUAGAGCACGAGGCUCUGAUACCAAUUGAAAGGAUGGAGAUGGACCUAUUGGUGGGGGGGUGAAUAUGUACAAUUACAAAUUUUAAUUGUUACCUAGCAAAUUUUUUAGGCAAUAAUGUGAAAUAUGAAACUGAGCCUAACAAUUGCUAAUGUGAUGCUAGUACUAAGCAAGGUGAGUAAAUACAACAAGUAUUUAGAUAGGCAAGCACAAUAUAAUACAUGUAAAGACUAAGAGACAAAUAACCACAAGCAGGGAGCUAGAGUUAGGAAUAACCGCAACUCUGAGAGACGAGGAUGUAUGCCGAUAUUCACUUCCUUGGAGGGAAGCUACGCCACCGUUUAGAGGGGUGGAUGUUACCACGAAGGCACACCAAGGCCACGAAGGCUCACCAUAUUCUCUGUUUGAGAUAUCACCACGAAGGCGAUUCUCAACUGAUAACCCACAAGUAUAGGGGAUCAAUUAUAGCCUCUUUCAGUAAGUAAGAGUGUCGAACCCAACGAGGAGCUAAAGGUAGAACAAAUAUUCCCUCAAGUUCUAUCGACCACCGAUACAACUCUAUGCACACUUGACGUUCACUUUACCUAGAAAAAGUAUAAAACUAGAAGUACUUUGUAGGUGUAACGGGAUAGGUUUGCAAGAAUAUAAAGAGCACGUAAAUAAAAUCUGGGGGCUGUUUAAAUAAAGAAGCAAUAAAGUUAGUAUAGCGAGUGUGGAAAAGUGGUGGUAGGAGUUGUGAAAUUGUCCCUAAGCAAUUGACUACUUUACUAGACUGAUAGCAAGUUUUAUGUGGGAGAGGCCACUGCUAGCAUGUCAUCCCUAACUUGGAAUUAUAUGCACUUAUGAUUGGAACUAUUAGCAAGCAUCUGCAACUACUAACGUUCAUUAAGGUAAAACCCAACCAUAGCAUUAAGAUAUAUUGGUCCCCCUUCAAUCCCGUAUGCAUCAAUUUCUAUGCUAGGUCGAAGCUUCUGUCACUCUUGCCCUCCAAUACAUAGUCCUAUCAACAUACAACUAACCCUAUGGUGUGAUCCACGCGCGCGCUCAUAUGAUGGACACCAAAGGACAACAACAUAACCACAAGCAAAUUAAACCAAUCAUAGCAAUUCACCAAUUAUCGAUAGGACAACGAAAAUCUACUCAGACAUCAUAGGAUGGCAACACAUCAUUGGAUAAUAAUAUGAAGCAUAAAGCACCAUGUUCAAGUAGAGGGUACAACGGGUUGCGGGAGAGUGGACCGCUGUAGAUAGAUGGGGGAAGGUGAUGAAGAUGUUGGUGAAGAUGACGAAGGUGUUGGUGUAGAUUGCGGUGACGAUGAUGGCCCCGGCGGCGUUCCGGCGCCACCGGAAGAGAGGGGGAGAGAGCCCCCCUUCUUCUUCUUCUUCCUUGACCUUCUCCCUAGAUGGGAGAAGGGUUUCCCUCUGGUCCUUGGCUUCCAUGGCAUGGGAGGGGCGAGAGCCCCUCCGAGAUUGGAUCUGUCUCUCUGUCUCUCUCUGUUUCUGCGUUCCCCAAUUCUGCCCUUUCACCAUUUCUUAAAUUCCCGGAGAUCCGUAACUCCGAUUGGGCUGAAAUUUGGACACGAUUUUUAUCCGGAUAUUGGCUUUCUUGCGGCGAAAGAAGGGCACCAACCUCCUUACGGAGUGUCCACGAGGGCCCAGGGCGCGCCCCUCACCCUCGUGGGCCCCUCGGGCAUUGUCUCACGUUGAUUCCACUUCCCAAAAUUCACAUAUAUUCCAAAAAAAUCUCCGUCAGUUUUUACCCCGUUUGGACUCCGUUUGAUAUGGAUUUUCCGCGAAACAAAAAACAUGCAACAAACAGGAACUGGCACUGGGCACUGGAUCAAUAUGUUAGUCCCAAAAAUAGUAUAAAAAGUUGCCAAAAGUAUAUAUGAAAGUUGUAGAAUAUUGGCAUGGAACAAUCAAAAAUUAUAGAUACGACGGAGACGUAUCAGCAUCCCCAAGCUUAAUUCCUACUCGUCCUCGAGUAGGUAAAUGAUAAAAAAGAUAAUUUUUGAUGUGAAAUGCUACCUAUUAUAAUCUUGAUCAUGUAAUCUAAUCAUGACAUGAAUAUUAAGACACGAGUGAUUCAAAGCAAUAGUCUAUCAUUUGACAUUAAGACAAUAAUACUUCAAGCACUACAGGAAUCAGCUACUUUGCCGUCAGCCACGGCAGACGACAAAGGCAAGGAUGGCGGACGGCAAAGGCCUUUGCCAUCUGCCGCGGACGGCAAAAGGCUCCGGCAAAGUAGGGAUCGGUAAAGAGCUUAUUUGCCGUCUGCUUUUUGAAGCGGACGGCAAAGGGGCCUUUGCUAUUAGCGGUUGACGGCAAAGAAAGCCGACGGCAAUAAAUGCGCUGUUAGUCCAUUAGGCGGCUAACGGCAGCCUUUGCCGUCCGCCGCUAACGGCAAAGAGCAUCCGGCCUUUGCCGUCCACCGAAUGACGUCAGCUGGACGUCACCGCGGGACAAGCCUUUGCCGUCUGCUGCUGUAGGCAAAUGUGGGCAUUCUUUGCCGUCUGCCACUGUAGGCAAAGCCUUUGCCGUCCGCCGCUGUAGGCAAACUGACCAAAUGGGUCAGCUCCCAGGGAGCACAGGUGGCCGCCGCGUGGCUUCUUUGCCGUCCGCGGCAGACGGCAAAGGAGCCUUUGCCAUCAGCGGCUGACGGCAAAGGUGCCUCUUUUUUCUGUUUUUUUUAAUCCAGCAAUUUUCACAGCAAAUAUAUGACACACACACACACACACACACACACACAUAUAUAUAUAUAUUUCACAGGGCUAUUUAACAACAAACAUAUGACAUAUCCAGCACAUAAGUUUCAUCGUGCAUACAUAUAUAGUUCCAUCCAUUCAUACAUAGCAAGUUGCACAUACACAUUGUUCCAUCCAUACAUACUACAAUGCAAAGUUUCAUCAAGAUAGCAAGUUCCAUCAUAGCAAGCUAGAAGAAUACUAGAGGAGAAUGAAAGAAAAAACAAGCACUCCAUCAUAGCAAGCUAGCUUCCGUGAAGUGAAUGAAAUCUGCAAAAUGGCAAAUAAGAAAGUUAGAAAAAGGUGACUAGAAGAAGAAGUAUAUGCCAUUUAUGAGCUAACUUAGGUGAAAUGGAUCAUUUAUGAGCUAACUUAGUUGAAAUGGAUCGUUUAUGAGCUAACCUAGGUGAAAUAGAUCGUUUAUGAGCUAACUUAGGUAUAAUGCAUCAUUUUAGAGCUAACCUAGGUAAGAUGGGUCAUUUUGGAGCUAACCUAGGUGAAAUGGAUCGUUUUUGAGCUAAGUUAGGUGAAAUGGAUCGCUUAUGAGCUAACCUAGGUGAAAUAGAUCGUUUAUGAGCUAACUUAGGUAAAAUGCAUCAUUUUAGAGCUAACCUAGGUGUGAUGGGUCAUUUUGGAGCUAAACUAGGUAAAAUGGAUCGUUUGUGAGCUAACCUAGGUGAAAUGGAUCGUUAUGAGCUAAUCUAGGCAAUUUACUGCUUCUUCUCCGCUAAUAAAACCUACUCCUUCAACUCGCUCUAAAAAAAUUGGAUUCUGUGUAAUAAGUUGUUGAUAUUCAACAACUCCGCGUAAAAAAUAAUCACAGAAAUCUAAACAUUUAUCGAUCCAUCCAUAAGGUAGAUCGGCGGCUACUCCUCCGAUGCGAAAGUAAUUGUGCAUAAUUCGCAUACCUGUAGCAGCUUCAAAUAGAUCAUAUAUUAAUUCUCUCUCUCUAAAAAUAUAGAAAAAAGGAGUCUGUGCGCCGAGAUCCGCCAUAAAAGGUCCAAGCCAUAGCAAGUGAGAAGCUAUCCGGCUUAAUUCUAACAUAAUUACCCUAAUAUAGCUGGCUCUUUGUGGUAUUUGAAUAUUCUCCAAGGUCAUUUUAGAGCUAACUUGGGUAAAAUGCAUCAUUUUGGAGCUAACCUAGGUAAGAUGGGUCAUUUUGGAGCUAACCUAGGUAAAAUGGGUCAUUUUAGAGCUAACAUAGGUAAAAUGGAUCAUUUUGGAGCUAGUCUAGGUAAAAGGGGUCAUUUUAGAGCUAACUUGGGCGGGUAAAAUGGAUCAUUUAUGAGCUAACUAAGGUAAAAUGGGUCAUUUUAGAGCUAACUUAGGUAAAAUGGAUUGUUUAUGAGCUAACUAAGCUAAUUAUGCCAUUUUUGACAUAAGUAAGCUAAGUACAUGCCAUUAUUAAGCAAACCUAGUUAACUAAGCAUAUUAGAGCUAACUUAGGUCACUUUGGAGGAAACAAAACUAAGUAUAGAUCGUUUUAGAGCUAACUUAGGUAAAAUGGAUGGUUUUGGAGGUCAGUAAGCUUAUUAAGUCAUUUUGGAGGAAAAGAAGCUAACUCUAGGUCAUUGUGGUAAGCAUAUUGGAGGAAAUAUGGCGAAGUCUUGGUCUUUAUGCAUUUGUUAAGCAAAACACUAGAGAAACUUACCAUGAUCAUGGAGGUGUAGGAGCGGGCUGGCUCGUGCCGGUAGCUGGAGAAGGAUCGUGCGAUGCUUGUCUGGAGUUACGCUGCACCAAAGAUCAUUUCCAAUGUCUCGUUAGCACGAUGACACUCAAAUGUUAAGACUAGCAAGUAAUGUCCAUUCAAAUUAAACUCACCGUGGUCCCAGGAGCAAUCACUAGCAUCGGCGGAGCGGUCUGACCGGUCUUCUCGCACACAGACUGCACAUUUGGUUUUGACGACUCAGUCAUACUAGUUAGUAAUGAGACAAACACUACAUGAAUGUUUUGGCUAAUCUGCAGAAGAAACUUACCACAAGGAGCUCGUACAUGGCCCUUGCCUGCAUGUCAUUCCGUGCCCUCUCCUCCUCCAACAUCUUUGUCGUCCUCUCCUCCAACUCCCGCUGCCUCUCCGCCGCCUCCGCCAGAAGUUUCUCCAUUCUAUCUCUCUCACUCUGUAUAGCAGCCUGCAAGACCACUCCUCGUUACCAUUUGUAAUCAUUGAUGGAAGCACACACAAUGUAAUGGAGAAAGAUAGCUGAGUACGUAUAACUAACCUUGAUGGCGAGUUGGACUGGCCGUUCACGAGGCCUUAUCUCAGGAGCGGAGCUCGACUGGCGCGCCUUGAUCUCCGGGAGAGUGCUAGGAUAACAGAUAAGUCCAUCUCCAAUGGCUAUGGAGCCAUGGGACCUCCCGCCACUAGAUAUCAUCACCAGCUCUGGAUCAAUGGGACCCUGGCUCGGGUUAAAGUCCUCCCCUUCCCCUCAUCUCUAUAUUUCACGAGCUUGUCGUGGGAGGAGAUGUUGGUGAAGUUGUUUGCAUCAUCGAGGUCAGACGGAGAGAAUGCCUUGACUUUCUUGAAAGAGGCAGUGUGGGCCAUGGCAUACAGGUCGUACACCUCUGGCACCUUAUCCGCCUUAUUGUAGCGUGCCUGAAAGAGAGAAACAAAGUAAAUUAGUAAUUAAAGGGCUCAAGGUAGCAUGAUGAAUGAAUUGCAUGAAUCAUGAAGCAAACCACAUACCCAGUUCUGCCCGAACUGAUAUAAGUUGGAGCUGCCUUGAUGGUGUGGCACACCUUCCAUUUGGGCACGUUUGUCCAUGGCCUCGCUGUGGAGGGCUAGCCAUUCUUUUGAGCACCACUCAUUGACCAACACCUCCCAACAAUCCAUCCGAUCCGCACACCACCUCGGAGGCGCCUAAGUUAGCAAAUAGAAACUUGAGCGCUACGACUAUGAAUUACUAAAUGAAGGAAGUAAGUACAAGGCCUUAAGAAUUACCUUCAUGUACUACUCCUUACUCAGGAACUUCUCGCGGCACGCCGGCUUGGCCUUCCUGAUACCACGCAAGGCGUAGUAGUCUCGAACAGCCUGCACCCGAGCCUCGUGCCGUAAGUUCUGUAGUAGGCGCUUGCAGACGUUAUCGAUAACAUUUGCCGCGUCCUCCUCGUAUCCCUCCUCACACCUGUAGAAUGUCUGCAAUCAAAUGAGACAAUAUUGAUUAGUAUAAUUAAUAACUAGCUAGUUGAAGAUAUUUAAUUGUGUAAAGGAGAAAUUACCCAGAACUUUCUGAUCACCACGUCUGCCCUCGUCUUGCACAAGACACCGUCGAUAAUCUCACCCGGCGGGGCCGAGGCAGCCAAGUAGUGCUCCCAGCUCAAUCCAAGCUCUAGAAGCCGACCCUCACCAAGCAACUUGACAAACCCCGGGAAGUUUUGCCGACAAAGAACUCCAAGGACAGAGUUGGGGCGGCGGACACUAUGAUGGUGGUCCCAACCCCUACAACAUGACAAGGCCAACACAUUAGAUAUUUGAAGAAACGUGAAUGCAGAAGGUACAAAAAGAUUAAAUGCACUUACCUCUCCCCAUAAGGGAAAAUCAACCACCUCUGCUCGCGGGUCGCCGGCACGGACGGGAGUCGUGUACAACCACGCUGGUAGACGGUGCCCCCCUCCUCCUCAAUAUCAGUCGGCUCCCCGCCAUCAUCAGCAUGGCCACUCGGCCCCUCAGGCUCAUCCGGCCAGGUACCCCAUCCAGACGUGUGCUCCUCCGGGGUCUCGUGGGCCAAAGGCCCGUCGACCCAAGGCUCGUGGGCCGAAGGCUCGUGGAUCGGAGUCCGUGUAGCCUCCUCCUCGGACGAAUCCACCCUAGCAGUCACGUGCUCGGGUGAAACAGCUGGGGGUGGCGGCGAGGAAGGUGCCCUAGCAGUCACCCUACCUCCUCUCCCGCGACCACAUGCUCCAACUCCUCUCUUCUUCCCUCCCUUACCUCGUCCCCUGCUGGGCACCGUUGUCGACGAAGAAGGGCCCGACGGUGUCACCAUACUGUCCAGCAACGCUCGGCGGAGAGGUGCGUGUGGAAUGGAAGACCUCCCACCACGCGCCGACGAAGAAGGGGCCUCGGAGCGCUCUCGACCAGUGCCCACCAUCUUUCAACACCUGCCAUGACAAAGAGUAAACGAAAUUAGUACAACAUAAAAAAAUACCGACAUGAAUAAUAAUAUGUAUAUCACUUAAGUGUAUCAUCAUCAAGUACAACAUAAAAAAAUUGAAUACCUGACACUACUAAUAAUCUCGAUCACUAUCAUCAAUAAAUGCAUAAUCAUCAUCAUCACUAUAAUCAAUGACGGGCUCAUAGGGUUCAGUGGCAUCAACAUGUGGAAGGCCACCUUGACGUAAUCGGUCAAGCAUUGACAGGUCAUCCGCAGCAGUAACCUCUUCUUGUUCCGGCUCUUCUUGUUCCUCCUCUAGGUUGAUGUCGGAUUCACUGUCGCUGUCUACUUCAAUGUUUUGGGGUGAAGUAUAGCAGUUCUUGAAACGCUUUUUUGGAAAGACGUGUCUCUUGGAAGAAUUCUCCUUCAUAUGUGUCUGGGUUAAUGUGAGGUUCAUAAUCCUCUUCCUUUGGGGGAGAUAGUCUAGCACGUGGCGGCACUUCAUAAACGACAUCCCAACCUUUCAGAUUUGGAUUAGUUUGGCAGGCCCACGGUAGAUAGAAUACUUGGGUCGCCUGUUGAGCCGUAAUAUAGACAUCAGGAACAUCUAAAUGGGUGCUUUGUUUGAUUUCAACUAGCCCUAUAUGUUCAUGAGUCCUUCUAGUCUCCUUUGGCUGAAACCAAUAACAUUUGAAGACUACGACAUUUGGUGGGUUUUCACCAUAGAAUAGAAGUUCAUAAAUUGCUUCAACUCUCCCAUAAUACUUGGUACCUCCUUCGCCGAUAGCAGAUACACAACAAUUUGUAGACUUUCGGUCGGCCAUAGAUAGCUCUUUGCCAUAGGUACGAAAGCGAUACCCAUUGAUGUCGUAUUUGUCAAAUAAACGGACCUUAUAGUCAAAACCAUUAGCGACUUGUCUCAAUUCGGCGUCCAUAGACUCUGAAUUAGCCUACAAGUUUAAUACGAAAGGAUUGUUGCAUUACGCACAAAUUAGCGAAUGAACUGAAAUUGUCUAAUAGAAAUUACCGUUUGUUUGAACCAAGAGAUGAAACCGGGAUAGCCGCCUCCUUGCUUUGCGAGAAGCUCAUACUCUUCGACGAAAUCCUUUUGGAUCACCGCUCCAUACGAGAAUAUGGCGACGUAUCGACUGUAUGAAAUAUCCAGGAAUAAGAGCAGUUCAAAGGAAAUAGAAGUUACGAAAAAUGUACCGAGAACUUACUCGAUGUACGGCCGCACUUCUAUUAGGUUGUUGAAGAUAUACAACGAAAUGGUCCGCCAUUCUUCAUUAUCCAAAGAUACUGGUUUUGAAACACUGGCUGGUGCGAGAUUCCCUUUGAGUAGGCUGAGGUUGGAUCCAUCGUUUUUAGGGUCGUCAGCAUUGUACCGAGGCUUCGGAUUAUGCAAAUGACGAUUUUUGGCUUCGUAGUGUGCUGUCACGAAGUUUGCCGCCUCCUCAGUGAUGAAUGCCUCAGCCAUCGAUGCUUCAAUUCUACGUUUAUUUUUACAUUUUUCUCGAAGCGUCUUCUGCAUCCUCUUAGUUGGGUAGCACUAACGAUUUUGCACGCCCCCCCCAAUCUUGCCUCGGUCGGGAGAUGCAAAAUCAAAUGCUGCAUUGGAUUAAAGAAGCCCGGUCAAAAGAUCUUCUCUAACUUGCAGAUCAACUCCGGCGCCAACUCUUCCAUUUCUUCUAGCACGCCAGGCGAUAGUUCUUUCGCACAAAGAACACUGAAGAAAUAGCUGAGUUCUGCUAGUACUAGCCAUUCAUCCUCAGGGAUGAAGCCACACAACAUCACCGACAUUACCCGCUCAAUCCAUAGGUGCCAAUCAUGACUCUUGAGACUAAAUAUCUUCAAUUUAUCAGGACUCGCUCCCCUCUUUAGAUUCGCUGCAUACCCAUCGGGGAACAUCAACUGCAUUUUCACCCACACGAUAAUUUCCCUCAUAGCUGGCCUUCCAAGAUUGAACCAUGCCUUUGGCUUCGUCCAGUUCUGCUUUCCUUUCGGUUCUUUCAUGUUUUGUAACGGCCUAUCACAUAGCGCCUCCAGAUCGACUCUAGCCUUAGUAUUAUCCUUUGACUUCCCAUCUAUGCCGAACAAUGUACCAAAAAGUGCCUCGGCGAUAUUCUUGUCAGUGUGCAUCACGUCGAUGUUGUGUGGGAAAAGGAGGUCUUUGAAGUAAGGCAGAUCCCAUAAGCAUGUCUUGUGAGUCCAGGCGUGCUUAGAAUUAUACCCCUUGAAGUACCCUGGACGCUCUGGAUCUGGCUCAAGAGCGUUUAACUGAUCCAGGGUCUGUUGGCCUGUCAACGCAGGUGGUGCAGAGUUUUUGACAACUCUACCUCUGAUGAAGUUCUUCUUGUCUUUCCUGAACUUAUGGCGAGGAUCCAGGAACUGUCUAUGCAUGUCGAAGCAAGAAAACUUGCGACCGGCCUGAAGCCAACGAAACUCAAGAGCUCCCUUGCAUGUGGGGCAUGGGAACCUUCCAUGCACACACCAGCCAACGAAUAGCGCAUACGCCGGCAAGUCAUGCGUCGAGUACAUGUACCAGACACGCAUUAUGAAGUUCCGUUUGCUAUAGGCGUCGUAUGUCUUGAACCCAUUAUCCCAGGCUUCUUGCAAUUCGUCCUUAAGCGGCUNNNNNNNNNNNNNNNNNNNNNNNNNNNNNNNNNNNNNNNNNNNNNNNNNNNNNNNNNNNNNNNNNNNNNNNNNNNNNNNNNNNNNNNNNNNNNNNNNNNNNNNNNNNNNNNNNNNNNNNNNNNNNNNNNNNNNNNNNNNNNNNNNNNNNNNNNNNNNNNNNNNNNNNNNNNNNNNNNNNNNNNNNNNNNNNNNNNNNNNNNNNNNNNNNNNNNNNNNNNNNNNNNNNNNNNNNNNNNNNNNNNNNNNNNNNNNNNNNNNNNNNNNNNNNNNNNNNNNNNNNNNNNNNNNNNNNNNNNNNNNNNNNNNNNNNNNNNNNNNNNNNNNNNNNNNNNNNNNNNNNNNNNNNNNNNNNNNNNAGACCAAACACACUGAACCCAUCCGUGCUGAUGCCGACUCGAGGAUGCCUCGGAUCUGCUGCUUUGUCAGCAUGUAAUUCAUCAAACUUUUUCCACGCAACACCAUCCGAUGUGUGUACGAUCAUCAGAUUCCCAUCUGCAUCUAGUUCGGUUCUUUUGCCCGUUUUGUGCCAUGUCAUCUGUCUGGCCGUCUCUUCAACCAUGAAAAGACGUUGAAGUCUUGGUACGAUUGGCAUAUACCGAAGAACACUAACGGGGAUUUUGGUCUAUGUCUUCUCACCCAUACCGUUGUCUACCACAAGAUACCUGGAAGACUUGCAAAUGGGACAAUAGUUCAAGUCCGCAUAGUCAAGCCUAAAUAAGACACAUCCUUUCUCACAGGCAUGUAUCUUCUCAUAGGGCAUCUUCAGUGCACGGAGGAUUUUGUCCGACUGGUACAGGUUUGCAGGCAUUACACGGCCUUUGGGUAGAAAGCGUCCAAAUACUGUCAUCAUUGCGUUGUAGCAUUCUCUGCCCAAGUUGAACUGAGCCUUCAGAGCCAUUACUUGUGAGAUGGCAUCCAACUGACAAAGCUCAGUGUGCUCGUGGAGCGGACGUUUUGAAGACUCCAACAUUUCAUUGAAGGCCUUUGCAGAUUCCUCCAUCUCCUCGUCCGAAUCCCGAGCAUCAUCGAAGUCUUGCACCAUGUUUUCCAUCCCGGUACCAUGCUCGUCGGUGCGACGACGAUCCACCUCAGCUCGGUCACGUUGGACAGACUCACCAUGAUAUGUCCACACCGUAUAAUCGGGCGUAAAACCACUCUUCUGCAGGUGUUUGCCCAUUUCAGCCUCUGUCCUCUUUUCCCAAUUGCCGCACCGUAAACAGGGGCACCAGGUUUUCCUCUGGCCAUUUGCAAAUGCGGCUUGCACAAACCCCUUGGUUUUUGUGAACCAUUCAGUGCUCCAUUUGUUCUGACCAGUGUGACCGGUGUACAUCCACGCACGAUCACUCAUCUUGACUUUUAGAGCUACUGGACACACAACAAAUAUAUAUAUAUAUAUAAUUCACCAUGUAUAUAUUCAUUAGUUGAUCUACUUUGUCAAUUUUAUUACGUCCAUGCAACCUACACUCUAAUAGGUAAUGAUAGGUCCUAAUCCCACCCGAGUAUGUGUAGAUUGGGUUCAUUUUCCCAUGCUAUGCUCUGGAUCCGACGCAAAAUUUCGGCAGCACCUCCCCGCUAUUCUCCUGAUACACGUCUCUGCAAUAAACAGAGAGGAUGUGCACCCGGAGAACAACAGGGGAGGCACUGACGAAAUUUAUGCGUCGGAUCCGGAGCAAAGCAUAUGGAAAAACGAACCCAAUCUACACAUACUCGGGCUGUCCAUGGAUAGCGUAGGACAAUUCGAGAGAAUCACGGUUAUAAAUAUGCAAAUGCAUGCAUAUUUAUAACUAUAACGCUUUCGAACGGGAGACACAUAUUGGUUACGCAUACUGAUGAUUCAAGACAGAUAUAUAGCUAGCUAUCAAGUUUCAUCGGCACGAACACCGGAACAGAGCAAAUAAUUAAGGGGGGAGGAGGACAUGUCAUUUGUGCUCACCCACGAAUGAAGGGGCAGAGCUCGUCAAACGCAUGGGGAGGUCGUCGAACACCAAACCUCGCAGCGAUGAAACAACUGCACAUUUAAAUCUACCCGAUCAACACAAUUAUAUAUGAUGUUUUUCAUAACAAAAUCGAAAAAUAUAUGACCUAACUCAUAAUUCACAAAUAUAUGACCCCGUCGGCCUCUGGAAGGCCAAAGAGCACCUUUUCGGGAGGUGUCAGGGGUCGGGGUGUCGUGUCGGUGUCNNNNNNNNNNNNNNNNNNNNNNNNNNNNNNNNNNNNNNNNNNNNNNNNNNNNNNNNNNNNNNNNNNNNNNNNNNNNNNNNNNNNNNNNNNNNNNNNNNNNNNNNNNNNNNNNNNNNNNNNNNNNNNNNNNNNNNNNNNNNNNNNNNNNNNNNNNNNNNNNNNNNNNNNNNNNNNNNNNNNNNNNNNNNNNNNNNNNNNNNNNNNNNNNNNNNNNNNNNNNNNNNNNNNNNNNNNNNNNNNNNNNNNNNNNNNNNNNNNNNNNNNNNNNNNNNNNNNNNNNNNNNNNNNNNNNNNNNNNNNNNNNNNNNNNNNNNNNNNNNNNNNNNNNNNNNNNNNNNNNNNNNNNNNNNNNNNNNNNNNNNNNNNNNNNNNNNNNNNNNNNNNNNNNNNNNNNNNNNNNNNNNNNNNNNNNNNNNNNNNNNNNNNNNNNNNNNNNNNNNNNNNNNNNNNNNNNNNNNNNNNNNNNNNNNNNNNNNNNNNNNNNNNNNNNNNNNNNNNNNNNNNNNNNNNNNNNNNNNNNNNNNNNNNNNNNNNNNNNNNNNNNNNNNNNNNNNNNNNNNNNNNNNNNNNNNNNNNNNNNNNNNNNNNNNNNNNNNNNNNNNNNNNNNNNNNNNNNNNNNNNNNNNNNNNNNNNNNNNNNNNNNNNNNNNNNNNNNNNNNNNNNNNNNNNNNNNNNNNNNNNNNNNNNNNNNNNNNNNNNNNNNNNNNNNNNNNNNNNNNNNNNNGAGGAGAGAGGGAGAGAAACAGAGAGGAAGGGGGUGGGGGGCUCGGCCGUUAGUUAGGUUAGUGAAGUUAGGUCUUUGCCGUCCGCCGUGCUUCGGACGGCAAAGAGGGGAGCCGUUAAGUUUUAUCUAAUCAGCUCGUAAGUGGGGCCACCUCUCUCUUUGCCGUCAGCCAGCUGACGGCAAAGAACUGGCUGAUGGCAAAAUCCUUCUUUGCCAUCAACCAGUUCUUUGCCGUCCGUUUUUUGUAAGCGGACGCCAAAGACCUUCUUUGCCGUCAGCUAGCAGACGACAAAGAACUGGCAGACGGCAAAUAAGCUAAUUCCAGUAGUGAAGCAUACUAAUAAAGCAAUCAUGUCUUUUCAAAAUAACAUGGCCAAAGAAAGUUAUCCCUACAAAAUUAUAUAGUCUGGCUAUGCUCCAUCUUCACCACACAAAAUAUUCAAAUCAUGUACAACCCCGAUGACAAGCCAAGCAAUUGUUUCAUACUUUUGAUGUUCUCAAACCUUUUCAACUUUCACGCAAUACAAGAGCGUUGAUGACCCACAAGUAUAGGGGAUCUAUCGUAGUCCUUUUGAUAAGUUAGAGUGUAGAACCCAACGAGGAGCAGAAGGAAAUGACAAGCGGUUUUCAGUAAGGUAUUCUCUGCAAGCACUGAAAUUAUUGGUAACAGAUAGUUUUGUGAUAAGAUAAUUUGUAAUGGGUAACAAGUAAUGAAAGUAAAUAAGGUGCAGCAAGAUGGCCCAAUCCCUUUUGUAGAAAAGGACAAGCCUGGACAAACUCUUAUAUAGAGAAAAGCGCUCCCGAGGACACAUAGGAAUUAUUCAAGCUACUUUUCAUCACGCUCAUAUGAUUCGCGUUCGUUACUUUGAUAAUUUGGUAUGUGGGUGGACCGGUGCUUGGGUGCUGCCCUUUCUUGGACAAGCAUCCACUUAUGAUUAACCCCUAUUGCAAGCAUCCACAACUACAAAAGAAGUAUUAAGGUAAACCUAACCAUAGCAUGAAACAUAUGGAUCCAAAUCAGCCCCUAACGAAGCAACUCAUAAACUAGGGUUUAAGCUUCUGUCACUCUAGCAACCCAUCAUCUACUUAUUACUUCCCAAUGCCUUCCUCUAGGCCCAAACAAUGGUGAAGUGUCAUGUAGUCGACGUUCACAUAACACCACUAGAGGAAAGACAACAUACAUCUCAUCAAAAUAUCGAACGAAUACCAAAUUCACAUGACUACUUAUAGCAAGACUUCUCCCAUGUCCUCAGGAACAAACGUAACUACUCACAAAUCAUAUUCAUGUUCAUAAUCAGAGGGGUAUUAAUAUGCAUAAAGGAUCUGAACAUAUGAUCUUCCACCAAAUAAACCAACUAGCAUCAACUACAAGGAGUAAUCAACACUACUAGAAACUCACAAGUACCAAUCUGAGGCUUUGGGACAAAGAUUGGAUACAAGAGAUGAACUAGGGUUUUAGAGGAGAUGGUGCUGGUGAAGAUGUUGAUGGAGAUUGACCCCCUCCCGAUGAGAGGAUUGUUGGUGAUGAUGAUGGCGAUGAUUUCCCCCUCCCGGAAGGAAGUUUCCCCGGCAGAACAGCUCUGCCGGAGCCCUAGAUUGGUUCCACCAAGGUUCCGCCUCGUGGCGGCGGAGUUUCUUCCCGAAAGCUUGCUUAUGAUUUUUUCCAGGGUAAAAGACUUCAUAUAGCAGAAGAUGGGUACCGGAGGCCUGCCAGGGGGCCCAUGAGGCAGGGGCGCGCCUAGGGGGGUAGGGCGCGCCCCCCACACUCGUGGCCAGGGUGUGGGCCCCCUCUGGUACUUUCUUUUGCCAGUACUUUUUAUUAAUUCAAAAAAUGACUUCCGUGAAGUUUCAGGACUUUUGGAGCUGUGCAGAAUAGGUCUCUAAUAUUUGCUCCUUUUCCAGCCCAGAAUUCCAGCUGCCGGCAUUCUCCCUCUUCAUGUAAACCUUGUAAAAUAAGAGAGAAUAGGCAUAAGUAUUGUGAUAUAACGUGUAAUAACAGACCAUAAUGCAAUAAAUAUCGAUAUAAAAGCAUGAUGCAAAAUGGACGUAUCAACUCCCCCAAGCUUAGACCUCGCUUGUCCUCAAGCGGAAGCCAAUAACGAUAAAUAUGUCCACAUGUUUAGAGAUAGAGGUGUCGAUAAAAUAAAAUACGGACAUGGGGGCAUCAUGAUCAUUCUUAUAACAGCAACAUAUAUGGAUAUUGUCAUAUGAUCUCUUAUGCUCAAGUAAUAAUCUAUUCACAAUGUAAAGUAUGAAUCAGAAACUUCAUUGAGAACCAACAAACUAUAAUCUCGGUCAUUGAAGCAAUUGCAGUUUAUCAUAACAUCGGAAAGAGUCAAUAUAAGAGCUUUUCAGCAAGUCCACAUACUCAACUAUCAUUUAGUCUUUCAUAAUUGCUAACACUCACGCGAUACUUAUGGGUAUGGAGUUUUAAUCGGACACAGAGAAAGAUAGGGGCUUAUAGUGUUGCCUCCCAACCUUUUACCUCAAGUGUAAUGUCAACAAUAAUAAUUCAUGCUAACUUACAUCCAAUUAGAUAUAUGUAUCAGGAUCUUUCCAACACAAGGUUCUUGCCAAAGGAUAAAAUGUAAAAAGGAAAGGUGAAAAUCACCAUGACUCUUGUAUAAGGUAUAAGACAAGAAUAAAAGAUAGGCCCCUCGCAGAGGGAAGCAGAGGUUGUCAUGUGCUUUUAGGGUUGGAUGCACGCAAUCUUAAUGCAAAAGAACGUCACUUUAUAUUGCCACUUGUGAUAUGGACCUUUAUUAUGCAGUCCGUCGCUUUUAUUGCUUCCACAUCACAAGAUCGUAUAAAGCUUAUUUUCUCCACACUAAUAAAUCAUACAUAUUUAGAGAGCAAUUUUUAUUGCGUACAACAAAGACAACUUACUUGAAGGAUCUUACUCAAUCCAUAGGUAGGUAUGGUGGACUCUCAUGGCAAAGCUGGGUUUAAGGAUAUUCGGAAGCACAAGUAGUAUCUCUACUUGGUGCAGAGAAUUUGGCUAGCAUGAGGGGAAAGGCAAGCUCAACAUGUUGGAUGAUCCAUGACAAUAUACUUUAUUUUAGAUAUAAGAAAACAUAACCCAUUACGUUGUCUUCCUUGUCCAACAUCAACUCUUUAGCAUGUCAUACUUUAAUGAGUGCUCACAAUCAUAAAAGAUGUCCAAGGUACUAUAUUUAUAUGUGAAAACCUCUCUUUCUUUAUUACUUCCUAUUAAUUGCAACGAUGACCAAAACUAAGUUUGUCAACUCUCAACAACUUUUAUUCAUCAAACUCUUUAUAUGUGUAGUCAUUACUCUCCCUAAGAUCAAUAUGAUCUCUUUUAUUUGUUUUUAUUCUUUCUUUUUAUUUAAUUCCCUCACGAUCAUAGCAAGAUAAUCAAGCCCUUGACUCAACACUAAUCUUUCUUAUAUAUAGCUCACGGACUCGAUUACAUAGAAGGAUCAUAAAGCAAAACUCAAAACUAAAUCAUACUAAAACUUUAUUCUACUAGAUCAAGAUAUUACCAAAAGGAUCGAACUAAGAAAAAUGGUAAAGAUAGGAGUGUGAUGGUGAUACAAUACCGGGGCACCUCCCCCAAGCUUGGCAGUUGCCAAGGGGAGUGCCCAUACCCGAUACUCAGUUCUCCUUUGCUGGUGAAGAAGAUGGUGGUGAUGAUGGAUAGUCGCACAUCGAGCGUAGGAGAUCCUCCAAUUUGCGAAUAUUGCCCUUGAGUGCGGUGAUAUGAUCCUUCAACAAAAUAUUUUCACGCGUGAGAUACUUAUUUUGUAUGCGAGCUAACUCAAUCAUCUUGAAAGCUUCAAUCUCCGUUGGGGUAAGAAGAUUGUUAUGAGGUUGAAGGAUGUCUUCAUCUUCUGCUGCCGGAACUUGGUCCUCCAUGGCUUUCUUGAUCCCAUCAUCCUUGUUGAUCUCCCCGGGUUCUUCUCUCUUCAGCUCUAUCUUCAUUAGCCAAGCAUCGUUGUCACCAUUAUUGGAGGAGGGGGACGACAUGAUUCCUGGCCUUGACAAUUCUGGCCGAAAACAACUUGAAACGAAAACAGAGGAUAUUUGCGUGGUACGGUGGCCAAAACCUUCGGGAGAUUAUAUAGUGAAUUUUUACCGACCAAAAGAAGUAUCGUGCAAGAAAACGGAGUCCGGAGAGCACACGAGGUGCCCACGAGGCAGGGGGGCGCGCCCUCCACCCUCAUGGACGCCUCGUGUCCUUCCUGGACUGCUUCUUAUUUUCCUAUUUUCUUAAAUAUUCCAAAACGGAGAAAAAUUACCAUUAGAACUGUUUUGGAGUCGGUUUACUUACCGUACCACAUACCUAUUCCUUUUCGGAGUCUGAAGCGUUCUGGAAAGUAUCCCUUAUGUAUUCCUCCGGGGUUACAGUUUCAAUAACAUUGGUUUCAACAUUUAUAGGAUUACCUGAGAUAUAAUGUUUGAUUCUUUGACCGUUCACCACCUUCGGAUUUGUGCCUUCGAAGUUGUUGAUUUUUAUGGCACCGGAAUGAUAGACCUCCUCGGUAACGUAAGGACCUUCCCAUUUAGAGAGAAGUUUUCCUGCAAAAAAUCUUAGGCGAGAGUUGAAUAGCAACACAUAAUCACCUACAUUAAACUCACGCUUUUGUAUCCUUUUGUCAUGCCAUCUUUUAACCUUUUCUUUAAACAGUUUGGCAUUCUCAUAGGCCUGGGUUCUCCAUUCAUCAAGUGAGCUAAUGUCAAAUAACCUCUUCUCACCGGCAAGCUUGAAAUCAUAAUUGAGCUCUUUAAUGGCCCAAUAUGCCUUAUGUUCUAGUUCGAGAGGUAAGUGACAUGCUUUUCCAUAAACCAUUUUAUACGAAGACAUACCCAUAGGAUUUUUAUAUGCAGUUCUAUAGGCCCAUAAUGCAUCAUCAAGUUUCUUGGACCAAUUCUUUCUAGAUCUAUUAACAGUCUUUUGCAAAAUUAAUUUGAGCUCUCUAUUACUCAAUUCUACUUGACCACUAGACCGUGGGUGGUAUGAGGAUGCAAUUCUAUGAUUAACAUCAUACUUAGCAAGCAUUUUACGGAAGGCACCAUGAAUAAAAUAAGAACCACCAUCAGUCAUCAAAUAUCUAGGGACUCCAAACCUCAGAAAAAUAACUUCUUUAAGCAUCUUAAUAGAGGUGUUAUGAUCAGCACUACUAGUCGGAAUAGCUUCUACCCACUUAGUAACGUAAUCAAUAGCAACUAAAAUAUGUGUAUACCCAUUAGAGGAAGGAAAUGGUCCCAUAUAAUCAAAGCCCCAAACAUCAAAUGGUUCAAUAACAAGUGAAUAAUUCAUGGGCAUUUCUUGACGUCUACUAAUAUUACCAAUUCUUUGACAUUCAUCACAAGACAAGACAAACUUACGGGCAUCUUUGAAGAGAGUAGGCCAAUAAAAACCGGAUUGUAAUACCUUAUGUGCAGUUCUAUCUCCAGCGUGAUGGCCUCCGUAAGCCUCGGAGUGACACUUGCGUAGGAUCUGUUCCUGUUCAUGCUCAGGUAUACAACGUCUAAUAACACCAUCUACUCCUUCUUUAUAAAGGUGUGGGUCAUCCCAGAAGUAAUGUCUUAAAUCAUAGAAAAACUUUUUCUUUUGCUGGUAUGUGAAACUAGGUGGUAUAAAUUUAGCAACAAUGUAAUUAGCAUAAUCAGCAUACCAUGGAGCAGUACGAGAAGCAUUAAUAACAUUUAAUUGUUCAUCAGGAAAGCUAUCAUCAAUAGGUAGUGGGUCAUCAAGAACAUUCUCUAACCUAGACAAGUUGUCUGCAACGGGGUUCUCAGCUCCCUUUCUAUCAAUAAUAUGCAAAUCAAAUUCUUGUAGCAAGAGAACCCAUCUAAUAAGUCUAGGUUUAGCAUCUUUCUUUUCCAUAAGGUAUUUAAUAGCAGCAUGAUCAGUGUGAACAAUUACUUUAGAAUCAACAAUAUAAGGUCUGAACUUAUCACAAGCAAAUACAACCGCUAAAAAUUCUUUUUCAGUAGUAGCAUAAUUUCUUUGAGCGCUGUCUAGAGUCUUACUAGCAUAUUGGAUAACAUUUAAUUUCUUAUCAACUCUUUGUCCUAGAACAACACUUACAGCAUAAUCACUAGCAUCACACAUGAUUUCAAAGGGUAAAUUCCAAUCAGGUGGCUGAACAAUAGGUGUAGGAAUCAAUGCUUCUUAAGCAUUUCAAAUGCUUCUACACAAUCAUCAUCAAAGACAAAAGGAAUAUCUUUUUGUAAGAGAUUAGUCAGAGGCCUGGAGAUUGUAGAGAAGUCCUUAAUGAACCUCCUAUAGAAACCGGCAUGACCAAGGAAACUUCCUAUACCUUUUAUGUCCUUGGGACACGACAUCUUUUCAAUAGUAUCAACUUUAGCUUUAUCAACUUCAAUACCUUUUUCAGAAAUUUUAUGCCCCAAGACAAUACCUUCAUUAACCAUAAAGUGGCACUUCUCCCAAUUCAAGACAAGGUUAGUUUCUUCACAUCUCUGCAAAAAUCGAUCAAGGUUGCUCAAGCAAUCAUCAAAAGAAGUUCCAUACACUACAAAAAAAUACACUUCCGUGAUGAUACAUGUUUGUCACAGUAGGUCACGUUUUCUGUCAUGCAUGUACAUCCAUGAUGAUUUUAUGACAGAAUCAAGGUAGUCAUACCUGUGCUGUCGUAGAAGUGUUCCAUGACAUUACCAAAAUUAUCAUCACGGAAGUGUCCACUUCCAUGACGAUAAAUCGCGCGUCACAGAAGUGCUUUCGUCAACGGUGACCGACACGUGGCAUCCACCGUAACGGAACGCCGUUAAGCUACCGGGUCCGGUUUUGGAUCCGAUAACCCAUUAACAGCCCCGACCGAUGGGGAUUUUCCACGUGUAAAAUCAUCAUUGGCUGGAGGAAACACGUGUCGGCUCACCGUUGGGACAGAUGUCAUCCACUCAUUGGACCCAAAGCGCCUAUGAUACGUCGACACGUGGCAUGGCCCAACAGAGGCCCAUUCCUUUGAAUAGGCUGGCCCGUUUGACUUGGUCAAAAGGUGGCGGGUUGGCCCACGGCAAGCCUGUUAACGGCCUGUUCGCAUAUAGCCCAUUUACAGCCCGCUAACCCAGGGCCUGUUUACGGCCUAUCCGAAUUAGGCCCAGUAGCGUCAUCUGGGCCGUCCAAUAUAAUUCCAGCCCGUUUUAACUUCCGGCCCAUGUAUGGCCCAUGACGUCUUUCGGCCCAUAUGAGGCCCUUAGUAACCCUCAGCCCCUUAACGGCCCGUGGUAAAACUGGCCCGUAAUGAACAGUGUAUCACUUUAUACCCAUUAACGGCCCAUUAUUCCGUUGGGCUGUUUCCAACCCAUGUUAUCUUUCGGCCUUCUUAGGGCCCAUUUAUUCUUGGGCUCAUUUCCAGCAUUCGUUUACUUACGGCACGUUACUGUCAUUUUCUACCUGUGGGCCUAAUUCAAUCCGUGGUUACAGUCGGCCUAUUUGUGGCCCGUUAAUACGUUGGGCCGUUUUCAUGUAAAAAAACCCGUUGGGCUGUUUUCAUAGAGUUAUCAAAUACGGCCUAUUAACGGCCCGUUAUUGUCCAUGAAUAGUACGGCCCAUGAUUGGUGAAAUGAUGAUACGCCCAGUAGAAGGCCCAUGGAUCCUACGGCCCAUAAAAGGCCCAUGGAUCGUACGGCCCGUAGAAGGCCCAUGGAUCCUACGACCCGUAUAGAAGGACAAUGGAUCCUACGGCCCGUAGAAGGCCCAUGGAUCAUACGGCCCGUGGGAGGCCCAUGGUUACAACAGUCCAUGUGUUGCCAUGAUUAUUUUGGCCUAGUUUCCAAAAAAGGUUAUUGUGGCCACUAGAAAAACAUAGAAAAAGAACUGCAGUGACUACAAGCAAACAACUAAACAAGAGAAUAAGGAAAUAAAUAAGCAAGCAAUUAACGCUGGCCUAUUACCGCUAUUACACAUAUUACAUCCACUGGGCAUCAAAGUUCGCCACUAGUGCAAAUAUAGGGAACAAAGCAGCAUAUUACAUACACUGGCCGUCAAAAUUGGCCACCAGUGCAAAAAAACGCGGCAGCAAAACAAGAGCAUAACUAAAACAACUUCGGAAGAGCUCAAGAAACGUUAUCCUGGGUAUCCGCCAUGCUGGCAAUAAGCUUAGCAAGCUUAUUAGCUUUGUCCUGUUUGGCGCUAAAAUCCUCCAACGCUUGCUGUUGCACCAGAAAGUAUGCAUCUGAAUGCUCCAGGGACUUCCGCAGUCCUUCCACUUCUUGUCGCAGCACAGCUGAUCGAUGUCUUUCAGCUUGUAGUUGAGACUCAAGAAACCGAACUGAUUCAUACCGUGAGUUUGAAUAGCUUGUGCAAGCGGUAGUGGCCAGUAACUCGAACACUAAACCAAGACAGGACUUUGGGGUUGUCUCACUGUCUUCGAGAUAGUCUUCCUUAGCUGUUUUAUCAGCUUUGUUGGAGACCAACAAGGAUGUGUCACUAUCCUGAACCUUAUCUGCAUUACUUCCUUUACCAUUGCUUAAUAAGGCACUCUUCCCCAAUAUUCUGUCAGCAUUCUAAAAGAAGAAACAAGCAGACACAUAACAGGUUUAGCAUGUACUAGUAUAUGAAACUCAUUUCGGUGAACCAGUUCAUUAGUAAGUGGACAAGAUUAAACUACCAAGUCUUCUAUUGCCAAGUACCAGUACAUAAUAAAAGCAUCAAACAAACAUAUAUCUAUGUCCUAUGGUCACUGCAUUGUCUUGCCAAAUCAAAAUAGAGACACGGUUCAAAUCAUAUCAGUUCAAGACAAAGCAGCAGUGAAAGAAUACAAAGCAUGGGAAACUACACGGCACAACAAGAUUUCAGAUGGGUACCACGGGUCUACAUGUACAACAACACUAUUGGCUCUGUUGUGAUGCUAGUAAUGUGCAUGAUAUGAGAAGUCAACUGUAUACACAAUUGAAAUUGAAAUCGACAGAGCUAUUAAGAGCAAGCCUGUUAAAGAAACAUGCGUGAACAGACCUGCUGUUCCAUUGGAGUUUCGAUUGGAUCCUUCAAUUUAAAAAUAAGUUUGUAUGAGUAAAUAUAGUGAUACAAGAGCAAAGCAGUAUGCACGAUAGUAAUCAUAGUUAAAAAAGGCGGACCUAAGCGAGUGCUUAAGCGCGCCUAGGCUCUAGGCGUUGGUGAAACGCAUUGCGCAUAACUACGCUUAAUCUGUGCAUAACUGCGCAUAAGCAUGCGCUUUGGUCAGUAAAGCGCAAGGCGGUGGCAAAACGCGCAAUUAACGCCUAGCGCUUUUUUGAACUAUGAUAGCAAUGGAAUCUUAAAUUAGAACAGUUGUUCUUCAGGUUCAGGCACUUGUUCUACAUGAACAGAGUACAUCAAGACACAAGAAUAUAGUACUUGAAAAUAGAAAAUGAGCUCAUAGACCUUACCACAUUCUUGGUUCAGGACCAGUAUAGAACAAGGCGUUCCCAGUCAUCGUCCAGUAAAUGUGUCUCAGGAGAACGUAAGGGAAUUUGAUGAGUUUCUUUGCUGGUGAAGUACGUUUUCUACAGGUAAUUCUGAUACUGCCACCAAGCAUUCUUGAAGAUAGCAGAGGUAUUAGCACAGGUUACCUCAUCCCGAGUUUCCAAAUCGGUCCUUCUCUAUAGAGAAAAAUGGGAAAAUUUGCUGUAUUAUAAGCAUCAUGGAGGUAGGACGUAUGGGACAAAGCAAAGUAAUUGCCAUGAAUAACAUUACUUACACAUAACUCCUGGACAAACACCUGCAACUGGCAUUUUCCUUCAUCUUCAGUAUAAUAUUUCCAAGAUGGGAAGAUACGCACAUACGAUUUAACAACAUCAAAUGCGAUAGAUGCUAAACUACGACUAGCUGGUUGUGCUUCCUCCACAGGAAUAGGCGUACUAACUGGUGGAGUUGGGGUUUGCCGUGGUAGUACUGGCCCUUUGGGCACUGGAGAUGCCUUACUAACUGCUCUUGUUUGGGAGCUCUGUGGUGGAGAUGGUGCUGUGUCAACAUGAACUGGGUUACUAUCUGCUGGGGUUGGGGUUAGAUUGGGUGAAGCUGGUUCUCUGUCCAUCGCAGUAGGGGUACAAUCUGCGAGAGUUUGGGCUAUGUGUGGUAGGGCUGGUUCUCGUGCAUGUACAACCGGGGUGCUAUCUCCACCAUAGAGGGCAUUAGAUAUGAUGUCUGAACUAAGAACAUGGUGUUGAAUAUUGUGUAUAUGAUGUCUAAACAAUGCAAUGCAAGACACCAUAUGCAUGAUAUGAGCAAUAUAACCGUGCCAAGUUAGAGCAUACACCUCGGUGGGGGAAUAGGACUGGUCAUCUGUCUCUGAAUCCAUCUCCGAGGAGCUAUCGGGACCCAACAAGAGAUCUGCUUCGACAGGUAGCACUGUCUGCUCUGAAGGCCUUGUUUUCACUCCAGAUUUUUCAAUCUCCCACCCAAAUGGCUGAUUCACAGGAAGAGUAGUUUAAUGUACAAACAUUGUCGACAAAUGGAAAUGUAAUGAAGAAAAGGAUGGGCAAGAUAUCAUUCAAAUAUAUGAUGCCUUGUUAAACAGGAUGGCAUUGCACAUUUCACAUAUAUUAUGGCUGGCUAAAAGACAUGAGACUGCAUAAUUCCCAUAUAUGAUAUAGAAACUAAACAGGUGGCAUUACAGAACAUGUCUAAACUAAGCAGAUGACAUAUAUGAUAUCAAAAAUAGGCACUGCAAGGCAACAUAUGCAUGAUAUGACUAACAUCAUCAUGCCAAGGUAGAGCAAACACCUUGAGGGGUAAAUAGGAGUGGUCAGUGGCGUCUGAAUCCGCCUCAGAACAGGUAUCUUCCUCUGGAUUACAAUCUGGAGAGGGGUGGGGAGGGUUUGCCAUUGAACCCACCAUGGAGCGAUGUCUGCAUGACAUUGUAUUGCCGCGCAAAACUCUUCUCUUUUUCUCUACGUGUUCAGCAUGACUGUGUACAAUAUCUGACAUGCAUACGAAAAAAAUAUGGUGAGAUUAUGUAAGGAGAGCAUGAAGAAAUUUAGAGUGAUGGUAACAACCAGUGGAUGGAUCCAAAAAUAAUGAUAGCAGGCUGAUGAUUGCUUUAAUUUAAUAAAAAGACAGAUGAUGAUUGCUUUACUAUUUGUUUCCCACCCAAGAUGAACAACAUAGGCAUACCCUAGGUGAACCAGAUAUUAGACAGAGAUACUAUUCAUCGCUUCCUCGAUAUGUGCCCCACAACUAAUUUAGAACUCAAGUUUGAACAUUAUUUUGGACCUGACUUGGAGUCCAAGAGGUGAACAUGACGAUAAAGUAGCAGGUAAUUUUAAGCAAUGCAUAACAUAAGCAGAAACAAAAGAGUGCGACCUCUCUUAUGGACCCGUGUACUCCUCAGGUUCAUCUGUUGAGUCGAUGAUGGUGAUGCCGUUGCGGUGGGUGCCGGCGGCAGGGAAGGAGAUCUGAGGCGGCGAAAGACGGUCAGGAGUCGUAUGUCUGGUUUGGUGGAUAUUUCUGUCGAUGGAGCAGCUCAGGUGAGGUGGACGACACCGCGGCAGGAGCAGGACAAACCACACAAAGUUUCCUUUGACACCUACCUGUAACUGAAGUAAUUCUGUAAGGGCUCAUUUGGCUUGCAUGAUUCUAAAAACGCAGGGAUAGGAAAAACACCGGAAUAGGAUAGGAAUGCACAUGGUAAACAGAGCAUUUGUAAACACAGGAUUUCUGUCAACUUGGGUGUUUGGUUUAUAGGAAUUGGAAGAGCAGAGGAAUGCAAAGAAACAUGGCCAAAAUAAAGUGAAACCAUAUGAAAGCGUGUACAGUUAGAAUGUUAUUCUGCCACUAAUGCACUUGGUCUUGUUUUCAUGCAUAGGAUUUUGAAAAGUAGGUCCAGGUGGAUGUUUUGCUUCAUUCCUUUCAACAAAAUGCAUGAAUAAUUGAAUAGUAGAGUGCCAUUGGAAAAUUCCCUAUUGCUAUGUUUUUCCGUUGAACCAAAAUAGCCCUAAUGGAUCGGCAUGAAUGUAUAGUAAUAAGUGAUGCAACAAGUGUACAACCUCUUUGCCGUAGCCGUGUCGACCCCAGCAUCAUUGGGUUGGUCGCUGAAGCAGUUGAGGCAGAGGUGGCUGUCGGAGGUGUGGAGGAGGAUUUGAGGAAUCUGUAGACGGCGUCCAGGGCACUGCUCUGUUGUGAUGGAUCGUUCUGUCGUUGGAGCAGCUCCGGUGAGCCGUAAGACGUCAAGGCUGAAGCUGCACAACACAGACAUCGUCAAUCUCAAGUUGGAUUCUAGUAGCAUCUCCAAUAGAUGAUGUAAAAUUUACAUCACCAAAAACCACCUGACUACAAUAGAUGAGGUAAAAACUGUUGACUCCGAACUUAAUUGUCGAAACUGAAAUUUGCUGUGGAAUCUGAAUGUUACUGUAGAAACUGAACGCAAUGGUAGUAGAGAGGCACUUGACAUGUAGUUUAGGGAGGGCCUGCAGUUCAUCUUCAACCUGCACCCCCCUGAGCCGCCAGCCACCAUCGGCCGAACCGCCGGCCCCUGCGCCGCCUCGCCGCCCCAAAACAACUCCCCACCGCCGGUCCGCCGCCGCCCCGGCCAGCCCUCUAGGCCCCCCGCCCUCACCCUGGACCCUAAGAUAGAUAGUGGGGUACCUCUCCGGCGAGCCCCCAUCCUCGCUACGGGUGGUUCUUCCUUAACUCUGGCGAGCCCCCCCCACCCCUUGAAAAUCGACUGACCCAAAAGUCGAUUCGGUCGAUUGAAGUGUAGCUAAAUCGGAGCAGAGCAGCAGCACGAGCGAGGGGGAGAGCUGUAGCAGCAGCGCGAGCGAGCAAGCGAGAGCCGGAGCAGCAACAAAUGGGUGAGCGAGCGAUCGAGCGAGAGCCAGAGCAGCAGGAGCAGCGCGAGCGAGCAAGAGACGAAGCACCAGUAGCAGAUCCGGCUGGUAUGGACGCCGCUGCCGAAGGGGCCUCGCACUGGGGGAGAGCCGCCAUAGAGAUGUCGCCCGCGGCGCCGGCUUCAAGGUAGCCGCUCCAUGGGGGUGCGGGAUGGAGCACCGUGGGCGCCGGGAGGUCGAGUUAAGGAGAAGGUGUGAUGCGAUGCGUGUACAACCUCUUUGGUGGCGCCGAGUAGGCAUCGGCUUCGUCCGAGGAGUCGGUGAGGAUGCUGCGGUUUCGGUGCAGCAGGUUAAGGCAGCGCUGUGGGGAUGGAGCAGCCGCGAUAGACGAGGCGAUCGUCAGAGCAGCUCCUUGGAGGUGGAGGACGGGGCGGCUGAACCGGCGGGACGACGAGAUGGACGAGGAUCCUCAUCCGGGGAGGUGGACGAGGGACGUCGAGUUGUUGCGGUGGACGACAUCGUCGGGGAAGAGGCUCCGGCUGGGCAGCGGUGAGGUGGCGGACGGAGGAGGGUGGGGUUUCGCGGUUGGAGCGGAGAGGUUAUGGCAGCCUGCGAUUUCGAAUGGCAAAAAGGAGGCGAUGGGAGGGGGUGAACCAUGACUUAGGGACGCGCUUGUCCAAAACGUAGGGUGUGUUACAAAUGUACCCCCCAUCGAUUUGAACUAGCGGCCCUUUCGGCUCAGGGUUAGAAGGGAGAUUUCGCUUGUCGGGAUUUGACAGCUGGAGGGAGUUUUCGCGCGCAUUGUAAUCGGGAUAGCAAGGCGCGGGUUGUGAAGGCGCCAGUUUUGGGAGCACGAGAUCUGAAUUUUCGGGAUAUAACAAGGCGUAGUUUGAAUUUUAGGGACAAACCUAACAUGUAAUAUUGUACUUGUACGUAUCAAAUCAAUUCGCACUUCCCUCAACCAAAAAGAAAACAAAAAAAUAAAACUAUUCACACCACACAAAGAGAGAGUCUUGCCCUGUUUUAUUAUAAAAAUGUUAUUCAAAGCUACUCCCUCCUUCCAUCUAUAUAGGGCCUAAUGAGUUUUUCGAUGCUUACUUUGACCAAAUAUUAGAGCAAUAAUAUAUGACAUGCAACUUACACAAAGCACACUGUUAAAUUCGUCUGUGAAAGUUUCUUUCAAUGACAUAAUUUUCACAUUGUGCAUGUCAUGUACUAUUGAUCUUGUCAAUAGUCAAAGGCGGUCUUAAAAAACACAUUACGCCCUGUAUAGAUGGAAGGAGGGAGUAUGAAUCCAUGUUAUGUCCAAUUAAAUUUUUUCGCUUGCUGUAUAAUGCAUGUAACCUACUCAUACCAACAUUUUAGUGCAUUCCAAAUGUCUAUACUACUGUUGCAAUUCGAACUGAAUUUGAAUUCGUUUCUCUAUUUCAAUAAGAAUCUACAAUCAUGAUUGUUGCCAACUUCAACCAUCAUUCGUGUAUUACCUUAAUAACACACCACAUGAUUACCAUAGAGAUAGAUAUGAACUAUGUGUACUACAUGAACUCAAAUUCUAUUUUUUGAAUACACUUGAUGUUGAUUCCAAAUAAUAGUACAUUUACUAACUAUAUAUUCAUAAUCUAAACCAUGUUCCAUACGUACACCGUGUUCAUCACACAUAGUAUAGUGCCCCGCCCCCUACAUUAUUACAAGUAUUUAGACCUGAGCUGCAAAAGCCACACAUUAGCCCAAAUUAUGAUCAAUGUUCUAUAUAUUAUACGUAGUACUAGCAAGAUGCCCAUGCGUUCCACAAAACAUCAACAUGAUCAAGGGGAGGCCUAAUUUGCAAAUAUGGAGAGGGGUGUGGGUAUCUUUUUUCAAAAUUGCCAUAGUUUCCUUCCUAUCCGUCAGAUAUAAAUCGGACGGCCUAUAUUGCAGGAUGGCACACACACCAUCAUCAACAAGUCCAUUUUUAUAAGAGUAGAGAUAAAAUAUAUUAUAUGUAGUAUAACAUGUUCAUAACCACACCAUGUGUAUCACCAUUAUAUGUAUUCACACAUGCGUCGGUUUAAAACACUAUGAUAAAUUCUUCAAAUAUCCGAAUUCGCUUUUUAUAAUGAAGUAUGAUCUCUAUUCGUCUUUUACACCCACACAAUCCUCUUAUCUUUGUAGCUAGCGCUAACUUUCUCUCGUGCAUGCACAUGCCUGCAUCCCUCUCACCCUCCCCCAGCAUUCUCUAGCUCCAUCGCGCAAAUUCGUCUUUUCACUUUAGGUCCUUCACCCACAGUGUGUGUAGCCCUCCCAGCUCCUUCUUUACGACACACAUCGAUCGAUAUGGCUCUCUAGCCAGGUGUGCCUAGCACAAACACAAGCUUCCCCUCUUCUCUUAUCACCGUCCAUGCCUCACUCCCACCACUCUUUUCAUCGAUCUCGUACUUGCACACUCCUUCCCCCUCGAUAUAGUAUGACUCUCGCACCACCUCCUAGAUGCAUUCCUCUCUCUCUAUCCUUCUCCCCGUGCCUCAUUUGCUUCUAACACACACAUGCAUGUAUACUGAUCGAUCUCCCAACAUAUACCUAGGUCGACUUUAACUAUUCCCCCCCAUCGAUCGACGUACCUCACAAGUUAUCUCCCUUCUUUCUCUGACAAAGGACGAUUGAUCUUCCUAUGUAGUUACGUCUUCUUACCAUAGCCAUAUCGUCCCCCUCAUCAUUCGUGCAUGCCUCCUGACCCGUCUCUCACACGCACGUGCACAAAUAGGCAACCUUCCCCUCUCUUAUUGAUAUUGCAGGCGUGCCCUCCGGUUGUCUAGCAAGCCUAUCCCACCAUUUGUUAGAAGCAACUCCACUACCACCCCCUCCAACACUCUAGCUCUGUCUCUCUCCCAACCUUAUUCCUCUCCUACACAUAUGCAUGGAUGCCGAUCGAUCUCCCUUAAUACAUGAGGUAGAUCAAUCUCCCUUAAUACAUGAGGUAGGCCUCUCUCCUCCUCCACACAUAUACCAGCCAUUGUACCUCUAUAGUUAAUUAGGCCUCCCNNNNNNNNNNNNNNNNNNNNNNNNNNNNNNNNNNNNNNNNNNNNNNNNNNNNNNNNNNNNNNNNNNNNNNNNNNNNNNNNNNNNNNNNNNNNNNNNNNNNNNNNNNNNNNNNNNNNNNNNNNNNNNNNNNNNNNNNNNNNNNNNNNNNNNNNNNNNNNNNNNNNNNNNNNNNNNNNNNNNNNNNNNNNNNNNNNNNNNNNNNNNNNNNNNNNNNNNNNNNNNNNNNNNNNNNNNNNNNNNNNNNNNNNNNNNNNNNNNNNCAGCCACUCUAUAUCUUUGACGUGGGCACACACAAAUUCGAUGGCACUCUUUAUCGAUCGCGCGCGCGCACACACACACACAUCAUCCCUCUCUUUGAUUCUAUGGACACCUCAAGCCGAUGAUACCUCCACUCUCUUCUCGUGGAUCGCCCCCUCUAUAUAUAUGAUAUAUCCAGGACUCUAUUUCACACACAUUGCAUAUGUUACAUUUUUUGAUUGACCCCCCCCCCAAAAAAAACUCUCACGAACCCACAUACUAUAUCUCUCUACGUUUGUAUCUCUCUCACACAACCGCACGUAGGUGGUGUACGUAUACAAGAAGAGAAUAGGUGCACCGUGCACGUACUCACGCUUCGUGCCCAGCCACACCCGCGCGGGUACACGGUGGAGCUCAUUUCUGUACGAAAUGGCAGACCACGUACUAAUUUGAAUGCGUGUAGCGGUUGUUUACCUACGGAGGUCCUGUACCACGCGUGCACGAAACAAAGUCCGUCUUGAUGCGUUGGCGCGUUAUUUUUAAAUAAAGUUAUAUCGUUCAAUGGCACGUACACAGAAUAUAAAACGAUUUUUAUGGAGAAAAAGGUAGUCCGCUCCACUAUAUACAAUGGAGCCUGCCUGCCUGGUUUGUCUCUCUUCAGAGUAUCUCAAACAAGGCUGCGGUUCACCCUGUACGUUCGGUUUAUUCGGUUUACAUGGUUCAGUUUAUAUGGUUUUUUGGUUUAUACGGUAUUAAUACUUCGGUAAAUACGGUAUGAAAUUAAAAUAUGGUUCGGUUUCGGUAUAUACCAAAUUAUUUCGGUAUGGUUUCGGUAUAUACCAUAAAAACCAAAGUUGACGCGAAUUUGAAAAUGACGUACUAACAAUUUGCAAAUUUAUGACUCAAAACACAUACUAUUUUACACAAAUAGUAUAUGACUAUAUAUAUAAGUAUAUAUGCAUGCAUUGAUUCAUCUGUUGAUGGUUAUGGACAUGCUUAGCAUUUUAAAAAGAGAAAAAUGACUAUGUUACGAGAAAAAUUUACGUGCUUAGUAGUGAAUUUGACUCAUGUACAAGAAAGAGGAUAACUUGUAUGGUUGUUCAUCUCAAGAAAUAUAAAUUUAUUUGUCACUUCGGUUUAUUCGGUUAACCGUUCGGUUUUUCGGUAUAUACCGUAAAAACCAAAGUUCAAAUCGGUAUGAAAAGUUCAUACCAUACCGAAACCAUAAACCAUAAACACCAUAAAAUCGGUUCGGUUCGGUUUAUUUUCGGUAUGGUUUUUCGGUUCGGUUUUCAAAUGCACAGAGUGAGCUGCGGUGGCCUCUCUCUCUCUCUCUCUCACGGUUGGUCACUGAUCCGGCCGCAUCCCGUCUGCCGGCGAAAAGGGAGGACGUGCAUCGUUUCUGCGUUCGACGGCGACGAGGCAGCACGUCCCGAUCUGCGGUACACGCCGUUCUCUCUAACCAAGCUCCGGUGUGGUAGGGCCUACGCCACCUGCUCGCUACCGCAGUAUGGGCAGAUUACGCCCGCCGCCGCUCACCUAGUUACAUCCCGACGACCUCCAGGUAUCCCCUCUGGCAUUGCUCCACUGCCCGUCUUUCCACGUCGCUGCAUGUGGAUCUUCCAUAGUUCUUUGCCCAAAAUGUAGCUCAUCCGGCGUCCUUUCCAUAUUGCAAUCUCGUCCUCACACCGUUUUAGACAAACACAACCGUGUUGUUAUCUUCCCUUAGGACAAGGAAUAUGCUUCUUUUUUGUCGUCGCAUGUGUCAUCAACUGUUAUUGGCCAGUAAUUGUUUCCUUCCUACCUCUUUUUUGCUAACAGGGCUAUCCAUUUCACCUCGUUGCUAUUGCGACCUUUUGGUGAACUGCACAAAUCACUUUUUUCUUAAGAGUGUUUUGUGCAGUUCUACCAAAAUGUCACACGGGCAACGUCUCUACAUUUCAGUGCGACUGCACAAAGGGAGAUUGGUUUUGCUCUAUCCUCCUCAUCCAACUCCGAGCCUAAUCUUCUCCAACUAGUUAGUCUUAAGAGAGACUGCAAAGGUGACCGGCUUCUAUUUGUGUGUUUAUUGUUUCAUCAGCAGUCCUCUAUUAUCGUAAUCACACUUAAUAUCUUUGGAACAGGGACGCUCAGCUCUAUUUUAGUGGAACUGCCCAAAAUGAUCGGAAUGUUGCAUGCUCCAGACAGCUACUUUUUUCCCAACAUGCCUUGUUGAUUUAGACAGAGAUGGAGGGACGUUGCUGCCAAUGAAAGCAUGGAUCAAUUUUAAUUUAACACCUUCUCACAACUUUGUCUUCAGUUGUGAUGUAAAUAUUAGCUCUGAUCUGCUAAUAAUUGAGAUGCAUUAGCAAGGAAGUUAGUUUUUUAUUGUUUCCGAAAGAGCAUCGAUGGCAAGACACACGAAACAAAAGCUGAAAGCUCACACCAUUGUGCAGUUUCAUGUCGCUGGAAAAUUAUUUGUAUAGUACGUCAAUUAUGUAAAAAAAUGCUGGAAGCUUGAUAGCAUUGCCAGAAUCCUCUUCGGCAUCCGGGUCCAUGUGCCAUGCACAAAAUUAUACUCCUUCGUUCCUAAAUAUUGAUCUUUUUACAAAUUUCAAAUGGGCAUAUUUUAGAGUGUAGAUUCACUCAUUUUGCUUCGUAUGUGUACUCCCUCCAUUCCUAAAUAUUUGUCUUUCUAGAGAUUUCAACAAGUGACUACAUACGGAGCAAAAUGAGUGAAUCUACACUCUAAAAUAUGUCUAUAUACAUCCGUAUGUAGUAGUCCAUUUGAAUAUCUAAAAAGACAAAUAUUUGAGUAGUCACUCGUUGAAAUCUCUAGAAAGACAAAUACUCCAUAGUAUAUUUAAGAACCGAGGGGGUAGUGCACAGCUUCAUGGGAGACUCAGCCCGGUCGUUGCGCCGCAUUAAUAGUGAGUAAUGAGAAGUCAAAUCAUAAGCCCCACCUUUCCCACUGUAAGUUGCUCGGAAGAAGCAACCAUCAAUACGCUCUUCUUUAAAUCCGCUCAUACUACUUCAUCCGUCACUGUUUAUAGAGCGCGCUUCAGAAAAAGAAAAAAAAUCUCUGGGACCAAGGCGACUAGCGAUCGGGCUGAAAAAUAGCAUUGGUAGUUAUAGCAUGGCGUCUAUUACUAGAGGAAAUAAUGCGUACACACAUGCAUGCAGUGCUUCCACCCCGGGUACACACAUGCAUGCACUUACUCCACUCCGUAGUACAUCGAGACAAAAUUGUGGACUUGAUUGCGGUUACUACGCCCUAAUUAAUUGAGCAUUAAACCAAAUGCGUCUAAAGUCUCUCUGGUGGUGGAAAUGCAUUGAGAGAAAUGCAUCAUAAUGAAGCGCGCCCUGUAAACUGUGACGGAGGGAGGAGUAGUAUGAAGGUGCAAAACCAAGUACACGUAUGGCCAGUCGGUUAAUGCACCUCCUCUUGGCAUAUCACUGACAUGUGGGACCGGAGUGUGAGCAAACCGAUCUCAAUUGAUGGCAAAAUGGCUAACCCGCCGUUCCUUGAGAGAGACGAGGAGCGAGAACACACAAACGGGCUCGCACGGAGGCCAAGAUAUAUUUGAGCAUGGUUGAUCGAUAUCAUCAUUACAUGUUGGGCUGCUGUUUUCCACCCUUCUCCAGAAUAAAUGUGUACUUUACCAGAGAUUAAAAAAAAAAGAGUACAGAGGCUCCACCAUGCGGUUCUAGUAGUAGUACUACUCGUACUACUAAACCUUGCAAUUGGCUCUUCGCCUCUUCGUGAAGUCGAACAAUGAUGGUACUCCGCAUGUUCGGUACUACAGUGUAUGCCUCUGGCAAUCUGACACCGAAUGAACUAAUGCAUGUCCACCGCCUGGGCUAGGGUACAUUGCAUUAGUCAAAAGGCGUAAUCGAGCUUCACCUUGUCCUGCAAGCUUCUCCUCGUUCUGCGAGUUGACGGGACACACCAAAAAGUAGUGCUAGUCCAUACUCCCUCCUUUCCAGUUAAUAUGGCUUAAUCUUUUUUGCAGGUAAAUGAGAGAGCUUUAUUCAUAUAUAAGCAUUCUUAGGACGAUCAGCCAAGACACUGGUCACUAGGAAGUGAGGUACCCAGCAAAAAAGAAGUAGGAAGCGAGGCGUUUCAUCAAGCCAGCUCUCGGCCACAUUCAAACUGCAGGAAGCACGGUUCGCACAAAGAUGCGCCGCAAGGUUUGCUGACCUGUUUACAUGCUGAAUAACAAAAAAAAGAGGAAAUAUUACCGAGCGCUCCUAUUUGUAACAGGAUAUGAGCCAGAAUUAAGCGAGAAUUAUGGUGAGUGUUCCAUGCAAUCAACUUCCAUUAUCACAUGCGAGAACCCUCGAAGAGAACCAAAUGUGUUGAAGAUUGCUUUAUCACAUUUUAAAAAUAUAAUAAGAGUGCAGACACUCCUCCAUCUGGUUCCUAGUAAUAGUAUCUUUGCGCUUGGCUGUUCUCCUCUUCGGGAAGUCGAACAAUGAUAGUACUAGUAUAGUGUAUGCUUCUGGCAAUCUGACACCGAAUUAACUUUUGCACGUCCACCGCCUGAGCGAGGGAGAGCAUGCAUUAGUCAAAAGUUUCUCCUUGUCCUGUUAGCCACCGCGCGCAAGCUUCUCCCGUCCUGCAAGCUUCUCCUUGUUCGGCAAGUUGACGGGACACAACAAAGUAAUGCUAGUCCAUACUGCCUCCUCUCCGGUUAAUAUGGCUUAAUUUCAAACGAGAUAAAUACACUGUUUGUCACUGUAUAUUUGUAAAAAUACGGUCAGUGGACUUCAUAAUACGCUCAUUACGCUCAAUAUAUACAUUUUCCGGUGUUUAUACGGUCACUAGCUCACCCUGGCUGAGUAUGUGUGUGCAUGCACGUGUAGGUUGAGCACUUGAGCGUGACCGUGUGUGUUCCGUCGUGUGCUCGGACAUGCAUGCAUUAGGGCAUCGCGCGCGUUUUGCGUCCAUGUGUACGUGUGACUGUUGCAUACACGUAGGGGGAGUACGUGUAGGGGCCACUAAAGGAGCAGUCAAAUCACACAGUAAGUUAGUCGGAAGAAGCAACCAUCAUUUCACUCUUUAAUGACACGUAUGCAAUAUAAAAUGGUUGAUAUGGAGAGAAAAAGAAAACCACUAUAUAUACACUAGCAUGAGCCUAAGCUACAAGCCUGCUUGCUUGGGUUCCUCUCUUCACAUAUCCGGCCUGAUCCCGCAGCUGGGGGAAGGGAAAAAUGUUCUGCGUAGACGCGGUCGACAUCGGCGAGGGAGAAAAUCCACAGUCGGUGAGUCCCAAUUGGGGGUCACCGCGGUAUGGGCCGAUGCCGCGUCCCAACCGCCCUUCUAGCUACAGCCCGACAUCCGUUUCAAAAAUAUUAGUGCAUGUCAACAAAAAUUAUACUAUCGCUAUUCCGUUUAAAAAAAGCAUAUAAGCUGUUACUUCUUACCCAAAGGAUCUUUAUAUCCAAUAGACACAAAAUAUCCAUUCGACUGUUCGAAAUUACUUUCACUGCUGAUCUGAUGUCGAGGUAAUUGCUGCAUCGCCACCAAAACCCACCAUCUCUUAAGCUAAAGUAGACCGAGCUAACCCCUAUAUUAGCAUAUUACUAAGAUAAACAGAAGGCACUGUAGAAUCAUUUAGGACAUGAGCUUGUCAAUCUGAAUGUGGACGAACACCAGCUUAGCCCCGACCAGUAGCUUGGGCGGAACUGCGAAGAAGGUCAGCUCCUGCACGGCGACGUCGCCGGGAUCCCUGCUGCUUGUCACCUCCAUUUCCACCUUGACGGCGUCGGUCCUGCCUUUGGGCUCCCCCGGCGGGACGUUCGCGCACAGCUUGGCCACGUAGUGCGGCAGUGGGGACGGCCCCGCUCUGAUGCAGACGACCGACACGGUGAUAGGCGCGCCGAUGUCGCGCACGCCGCCGACCAAGAAAAACGUGCGGCCGUCCUCCUCCGCAAACAGCAAGAGUCGUGGCUCCGACAGUGGCACUUGCAGCUAGAGCGCCUUGCCGUACUGGACCAUGUGCACGGGCAUGGGAUGCAUGGUGCUGAUGUGGUGGGAGAGCACCGGCGGCGGGCCUUCGUAGCCGCAUAUGGGCACGGGGCAUUUGCAGGGCGCGAGCGGACACACGCUCUGGUGAUCGGCGAGCUUGUUGUAAGUGACGUAGAGCCCACAGCCUUCGUGCGGGCACUCCACCCUCACCGAGGAGAGGACGGCGUCCACCGCCGUGUUCCGCACGUCGAAGCCACCGCCGCGCUCGCACUUCUGGCACUGCCGCUGGUUCCCGGGGCGCUCGACGCGGCAGUCCGCGCAAGCCAUGUGCCCUCCCUUGCACUGCACAAAUCAAUCGAACAACACAUCAAUCAAGAAACCUGCACCUUGCUCGAUCAGCCGAACGGGCGAGGUGUAUUUGAACCUCAUACACUGGAGGCUUCAAGGGGCGGAGGCACAAGGAGCAGCGGAGCAAGGUGAGGUCCAUCGAGACCAUAGAGAGCUCCAUCGUCGGGCCAUGUUCCGUCUGCAUGAUCUCGCCCUCCUCGUGCACAACCAUCUCUCGCUUUAUUAGGGCCGGGGCAUUACAAAGCAUUACCGUCACAUAUUCAUACUACUUCAAGGUGCAUUAAAUCAACACAUGCAAGUAUCAAAAGGAGAGUCACGGCAUGCAUGCAUGCGUUGUAAUUAAUGCAUCGGUAAACGCAAAUUAUUGAAAUAUAUCGAGUGCAGUGCUUUGAUGUGUCGCGUCAACUCGUACAAGACCGAGAAGUUUGAUUACUACAAUGCCCUCCCGUCUUAACCGCACCUGCCUUUGCCUGCAAGACAGGUGGGCCACCGACCUGUUGGGCCCAGCUAUCAUAGACGCAAAGGUAGGAGCAGUAAGUCAAUGACGCUGCAUCCCUCCCUCGCCCAUGAGCGUGGUGGCUUGCAAGACUAGGAGAAGCUUUCGUUCGCUACACGCUCUCCCUCCCGCACGCGGUGGACAUGCAACAGUUCAAUCGGUGUCAGAUGGCCAGAAGCAUACUGUAGUACUCCUCCACUGCAGUAGUACUCCAUCAUUGUUCGACUUCCCGAAGAGGCGAAGAGCCAAGCACAGCCCGGACGCUCGUGUGGUAGUUUCAUGUGUAGAGUAGUCUAGGAUAGCGUGUACCGUGCCUGUAAGCUUAAAAUCGUUGGGGUCGGCUCCAUGCCAUAUUUUUUGAUUAAAAUAAUCUUCUGGCCCUACCUGUCAUCCUGGUGAUUCUAGUUUGCAUGCUCAUCUGGUCAAGAUAGGAAUAUAUAUUUUAAUUUGUGGUGGGGUAAAUGUUAGAGGUUGCAGCAAAUGGAGUAUUGUACACUGCGGGUCUUUCAGCCAAGUUUAGAGACAACCAUGUGGGGCCAGUGCUAUGAUGUGUCGCGUUAACUCGUACAACGAGGAGAAGCUUGAUUUUACUACUACACGCCUUCUCCCUCGCCCAUGCGCGCGGUAGCGCACAGACGAAGACAGGCUUUUGCUUAUAGUACUACAACAAGCUAUCCCUCCCGCUCGCGGUGGACAGACAUGCAGCAGUGGAUUCGAUACUGUAGAAGCAGUAGUAGUAACAUCAUUGUUCGUCUUCUCAAAGAGGCGAAGAGCCAAGUGCAACCCGAACAUGGCAGUUGCAAACCUUGGAGCACCCAUAUAGCCAGGCUCUUGCAUGAGACAAAAUUGCUAUGUGAGCCCACUAUUGUAGUACUUGCUAGUAUAGCCCUGUAAACCAGAAAGGAGUAUUUGCCUUUCUAGAGAUUUCAACAAGUGACUAGACUACACCGAGACGGAGUACAUAUGGAGCAAAAUGAGUGAAUCUACACCGUAAAUAAAUACGUAGUUCUCUCGUUUUCCUCUCGGCCUUGGUCGCAGUGCACAAUAUUGAGUAUACUAGUACUAUCAUCUUGAAAUUUAUGAAGUCACCAUAGGCACCUCGUCAUCGACGGGAACGUCUCCUGACACGCGAUAGACGCGAGCGGCAGUCGCCUCCAUAGGUGCUUGAAUGCCAAGGAGGGAGAGGGUAGCGGUUCCCGAGACGUUGAACGGUCACUGAUGCAUCCUCAAAUUACAUGCAGAGGGAAUUAAUUGGAGAAGUAGAAUAGAGCCAGCACGAUUUUGAAUGCAACAGAGUUUGGAUUCUCAUAUAAAGGCGCCCCACCACUCCAAUCCAUCUACUCCUUAGUCUCUGCGCAACACUGCUCACUCCAAUCCAAGACCAAGUGACCAGAAGCCAGAAGCACCUAUGGAGGCGAUGGACGCGAGCGGCAGUAGGCUGUGCCAAAUCAUUCAAGGCGUCGGCCUGCGGCCCCGCACCGCGCAGCGUUUCGAGAUGGUGCUGGCGACCGCCGGUGUUGUAGCCCUCGUCGACGCUGGCUUCACCUCUCGCAUGGACGACAUGAUGGUCAACUCCAUCCGCAAGUUCGCCGUCAAGAAGCGUGUAGCGAAAGCUCCUACUAGUCCUGCCAGCCACCACGCUCAUGCGCGAGGGAGGGACGCAGCUUCAUUGACUUAUUGCUCCUGCCUUUGCGUCUAUGACAAGUGGACCCAACAGGUGGUUGGCCCACCUGUCAUGCAGCCAAAGGCAGGUGCGGUUAAGGCGAGAGGGCGUUGUAGUAAUCAAACUUCUCGGUCUUGUACGAGUUGACGCGACACAUCAAAGCACUGCACUCGGUAUAAGUCUUUUUACACAUUUCAAAUGGACUACAACAUACGGAUGUAUGUAGACAUAUUUUGCUUCGUAUGUAGUCACUUGUUGCAAUCUCUAAAAAGACUUAUAUUUGGAAACGGAGGGAGUACAACGCAUGCAUGCAUGCCGUGACUUCCCUUUUGAUACUUGCAUGUGUUGAUUUGAUGCACCUUGCCAAAAAUUUUACUAUAAAUUUAACUAACCAAAUUUUCAUGCAUGUCACAAAAAAUUACGGGGCUGUUUGGAUUGUGACUAUGUUUGUCUUAUGUUGCCACAUUAUUUUUCCCACACUUGCCACACUUGCCUAACUUGAGUUGCUCAAAUUGUUAGACACACUUGGCUUGCAUAAGGGAAUCUUGCCACACUUUUUGUGUCUAUGACAUGUGGGGUUCACUGCUAAUAAAAAAAUUCUUAUCUUAGGUGUGGCUAAUUAAAAAGACUUAUAUUUAGGAAUGGAGGGAGUAGAAAAUAUAAAUAAUAAUGCAUGUUGGGGCAACCCACGUUUCCGAUAAUUUUAGCCGUGUGCUUGUUCACAAUUUUUACGAGGGGGUGGUUGUUCAUUUAAUGGAGGGACUUGUACCAGACUUGAACGAUACAAAGUGUGACCUGGCACACCGUAACACCACUUGGAACAUGCGGGUAGCUAUCUCAAAAAACAAUCAACAACUAAAAGAACGGCGACAUGGCACGUAGUACACAAUUUUAAACGAUUGUUUUGAUGGAGUGAAAAAGGAAAACUACCCCACUACGUAUAUAUAGGCUGGAGCCUCCGCGCUUGCUUUCUAGGGUUGCUUUAUUCACACACUCUCAUCCUCUCCAGAUCUAAACAAGAUAGGGGUGGUAACACUGUCUUUCUCCCUUCAAAAAACACUAUCUUUCUAUCCCCACCGCUGGUUACAGAUCCGGACGUAUCCCCCUCCGCCGGUGAAGGGGAGGAGAGGCAGCGUUUAGGCCGUCGUCGACAGCGAGGGAGGAGACCCACUGCCGGCCGCACCGUUAUCUCUGGCCGAGUGCCGGCGCGGGAGGUCCUCCGAUCCCUUCGUCGUUGCCCUAGUGUGGGCGGAUUCGGCCUCCCGCCGCCCACCUAUCCACAUCCCGACGACCUUCAGGUAUAUCUUCCUUCGAAACCGCCUUAGCUCUACUUCCCCAGCUCGCUACGUCGCUGCAUGUGCAUCAUUUUCUACCUCUCAGCCCCUCUCGAUCGGAUGGUCCAAUGUCACCUUUUUUUCUUCUAUUGUUAGAGGUAAAGCUACUUCAUGGAGUUGAAUCUUGUACUUGGUUCAAACAAGAAAUAAAGUGGGGGUGUGGGAAUUUAGUAUCUAGUACAUCGGACUUGGUACAAACAGGAAGGAAAGGGGGUGAAAGUAGUACAGACUGGUCAUCCAACCGGUCUCUUGGUCGAAAAGGGAAAUAUAGGGGUAACGUUGUACACAGUGGUAUGACCAGGACUAGAUUUGCUAUCCACACAUAGGAGUAGGUGGCUAGAGUGAACAAAAAUGGGACCAACCCAGAUAUGUUUCUUGGAUGUUUGUUUCUCGGGGCAACAAACUAUGAAUCACCACUUUAUGCCCCUGUUUAGGUACAUGGUGCUGGACUGCUGGUGCACCCACUGUCCCAUGCCCUUAUACCAAAUAUUUAGCUGUUCUUAAUCUAAUGCCCUUGGUAAAAAUGAAGCCAUGCCACUGUUAUAAGCCAUGGCAAGUUUAGCGAAAUGUUUUUGCCUGUAAUUGUUUGAGACUCUGACUGUUUCCUCUGUAGCGUUUUGUGCAAACAGGGAUAUCCAUUUCACCUGGUUGCUGUUGUGACCUUUUGGUGCACUGCACAAAACUCUUCUUAAAAGAAGUAACUUUUGUGUUGUUUAACUGGAAUGUUAGAAUAGAACAGUUGGUUCAUUUCGGUGGAACUGCACAAAGGGAGAUCUGUGUUCCAAUCCUCAUCAUCCAUAUUGGCACCAUAACCUUCCUUUAGGUAAGAAUGAUAUUUAAUGCAUGUGUUCAUCUCUAUUUUGCGACUGCCAUGAGAAAAUAAUGCUAUUUUUUUACUAGUACGCUUGUACUCCCUCACUGACAAAACCAAUUCUGAAAUAGAAGGCCAAUCAUGUACUUGGUUUCACCAACUGGUGAGGAGAAUGAGAAACAGAGCAUGAAGAGGAAGAAGAAGAAGAGUAAACAGUGCCAAGGCGAUCUUGCUAAAGCCAGAGGCCUCAGUCGAGGCCAUUUAAGGGCUCCGGCAAUGACUACCUUACGUGUGAGACGAUCCUCCAGGGAGCCCUUCCACUUCUGUAACACCCACGAUGCGGCUAUAUCUCCCACGUGUCGAGGCACGACUUAGAGGCAUAACCGCAUUGUGGUUUUGUCGCAAGAAGGGUCAUCUUCACACAAUCCCAUGUAAUGAACAAGAAUGGGAUAAAGAGUUGGCUUACAAUCGCCACUUCGCACAAUACAUAAAUAAAUCAUACAUCAAUCAGAGUACACACAUAGGUCCGACUACGGAACCAAAAUAAAAGAAGACAACCCCAAAUGCUAGAUCCCCGAUCAUCCCAACUGGGCACCACUACUGAUCAACAUGGAAAGAAACAACACAACGAACAAGAUCUUCAUCGAGUUCCCACUUGAGCUCGGUUGCGUCACCUGCACUGGUAUCAUCGGCACCUGCAACUGUUUGGAAGUAUCUGUGAGUCACGAGGACUCAGCAAUCUCACACCCGCGAGAUCAAGACUAUUUAAGCUUAUAGGAAAGGUUGGGGUAAUGAGGUGGAGCUGCAGCAAGCACUAAGCAUAUAUGGUGGCUAACAUACGCAAAUAAGAGCGAGAAGAGGAGCAACAGAACGAUUGACAACUAGUAAUGAUCAAGAAGUGAUCCUGAACUCCUACUUACGUCAAACAUAACACAAGAACCGUGUUCACUUCCCGGACUCCGCCAAAAAGAGACCAUCACGGCUACACACGCGGUUGAUGUAUUUUAAUUAAGUGAAGUGUCAAGUUCUCUACAACCGGACAUUAAACAAAUUCCCAUCUGCCACAUAACCGCGGGCACGGCUUUCGAAAGAUAAUACCCUGCAGGGGUGUCCCAACUUAGCCCAUUAUAAGCUCUCACGGUCAACGAAGGAUAUUCCUUCUCCCGGGAAGACCCGAUCAGUCUCGGAAUCCCGGUUACAAGACAUUUCGACAAUGGUAAAACAAAACCAGCAAAGCCGCCCGAUGUGUCGACAAUCCCGAUAGGAGUCGCACGUAUCUCGUUCUCAGGACACACCGGAUAAGCGAAGCGUACAGGUACCAACGUAACCCAAGUUGCCAAGGGAUGGUCCCGCACGGUGCUCUAGUUUGGACCAACACUUAGACAAGCACUGGCCCGGGGGGGGGGGGUAAAAUAAAGAUGACCCUCGGGAUGCGCGACUCCCAAGGGAAAAAGGCUAGGUGAGGCAAAUGUAAAACCAAGGUUGGGCCUUGCUGGAAGAGUUUUAUUCAAAGCGAACUGUCAAGGGGGUCCCAUAAAUCACCCAACCGCGUAAGGAACGCAAAAUCAAGGAACAUAAUACCGGUAUGACAGAAACUAGGGCGGCAAGAGUGGAACAAAACACCAGGCAUAAGGCCGAGCCCUCCACCCUUUACCAUCAUAUAUAGAUGCAUUAAUUAAAUAAGAGAUAUUGUGAUAUUCCAAAAAAAUCCAUGUUCCAACAAGGAACAAACUUCACCUUCACCUGCAACAUAGCCAAACAACGGUUUGCUAGGAAAGGUGGGUUAGAGGCUUGACAUGGCAAUAUGGGAGGCAUGAUAUAGAAAGUGGUAGGUAGCGCAGCAUGGCAAUAGAACGAACAACUAGCAAAGCAAAGAUAGAAGUGAUUUCGAGGGUAUGGUCAUCUUGCCUGCAAGGUUCUCAGAGUUGACGAAAGCUUGAUCCUCGUAAGCGUACUCAACAGGUUCCUCAUUCACGAACUCGUCUCCUGGCUCUACCCAAAACUAGAACACAAGCAACGGAACCACAAUCAAUCACGGGAAAUGCACAAGCAGCAUGAUGCAAAACAUGAAUGAUAUGCAAGAUAUGAUAUGCGGUGCAUAUGCGUGCUCCGGAAGAAAAAUGAUGAACAAGGUAGUAACUUGGCAAACCAAGCAUGCCACUGGAAAGAUGAGAUGAUUUCGGUCGAAACCGAUAUAAAGAUCACCAGAAACGGAUGCACGAUUUGCAAAUGGCAAGCAAAACAAGAAUGACACGAUUCUGCGAUUAACAGCAUGAUAGCACUUAAAAUGCAUCAAAUAACUAUGCGAAAACACUCCAACAUAGCAACAAAGCAUAUGGCAGUAAUCUACAGGAGAUGCUUGACAAAAGAUGAACACUGAGCUGCAGCUAGAUCACAACAUAACAGGUUCAAACAAGCACGGCAAAAGUGCAAAAGAUAUCAGGUUCACGGACUUGGUGAAAUUACUGGACAUGCCUGAAACAGCAUCAGGUAGCAAUGUUCAGAGCACGAAAUCAAUAUGCUACAGAAACUUAACAUAGCAGGACAAGGCAUUUCAUGAAUCUACUAAAUGCAUAUGACAAAAAUCCCUUACUGACCACAAGCUAAAAAGGAUCAUAAGAUAUGAUGGCAACCAUGUAAACAUAGCAAGUUUCGUUAACAGGUUUCGGACUUAGCAGAAAACAGAGCAUGGCAGAAACAGUAAUAUGAAGGCAUUUUUGUGAGUUUGAUGCACUCAUCACAAAGCAAUGCAUGACAAAACAAGCAUACCUACCGCAAGAUGGCAUGUUUAUGAAGCUAUCCAUGGCAAGAGCAAAUACAUAGCAUGUAUGAAACAACUACAACAACCUUGGCAAAAUUGAAUAUCAUGUUAACAAUCUGCCAGAAAUAUUAUAUAGCAAAAGUAGAGCAAGAUUAAGACAUGCUAUGUCACUCCAUAAUUGCACACAAAGGAAUGAAUGGAUAGAACACAACUAUAUUACAAAACAUCCUUACUGAACAUCACCAAAAUAAGCAUGGAUCUCUCUGUAGACACAUGGAUACAUAGCAACAAAAUAACAGCAGUCACAGACUUGGUAAAAUUACCAAGUCCCUGAAAUCAGAAACAUCACGAAGCCUAGUUUGCAUGCUUGUGCUAGUCACCACAGAGAUCACAAAAAUACAUGGCAUACACCUCUGUAAAGAUGGCAUGACAUAUAUUAAAACACAUGUAGAGCUCAUGCCCAUAAGAUGCACACAUCAAGUGCAACAAAAAUAACAAAUCCUCAAAUUCUGAUAAGUGACAGCAGUCAGCAGCAAUUAGCACUCUUGCACCAGAGAUUUGGCCAUCAAGAUGGACUCAAAUGAACAUGGCACAAUGGAACAAAAUGAAGAGAAUCUCGAGACGAACAUUUCGAUAUAUUACACGCACGAAACGGAGCUAUAUGCAGUGAGUUAUGAUGCGAUGAACAUGAGCAUAUAUUGUAAAUAAUUCAAGACUUAGAGAAAAUCGGGAGAGGGGAGAAGUCAACCGCCUCGUUGACCCGAUCGGAUCUGGCCGAGCUCGACCUCGAGCUCGCCGGAGAAGGAAGGGGCGCGGCGGCCGGAGGCGUUGGAGAGAAAUGAGAGGAGCCGGUGGAGGGCGCGGCGUCGGAGGGCGGCGCGGAGGAGCGGGGCGCCGCGGGGACGCGGUCGCCGGCGGGUGCGGGCGGUGGCGNNNNNNNNNNNNNNNNNNNNNNNNNNNNNNNNNNNNNNNNNNNNNNNNNNNNNNNNNNNNNNNNNNNNNNNNNNNNNNNNNNNNNNNNNNNNNNNNNNNNNNNNNNNNNNNNNNNNNNNNNNNNNNNNNNNNNNNNNNNNNNNNNNNNNNNNNNNNNNNNNNNNNNNNNNNNNNNNNNNNNNNNNNNNNNNNNNNNNNNNNNNNNNNNNNNNNNNNNNNNNNNNNNNNNNNNNNNNNNNNNNNNNNNNNNNNNNNNNNNNNNNNNNNNNNNNNNNNNNNNNNNNNNNNNNNNNNNNNNNNNNNNNNNNNNNNNNNNNNNNNNNNNNNNNNNNNNNNNNNNNNNNNNNNNNNNNNNNNNNNNNNNNNNNNNNNNNNNNNNNNNNNNNNNNNNNNNNNNNNNNNNNNNNNNNNNNNNNNNNNNNNNNNNNNNNNNNNNNNNNNNNNNNNNNNNNNNNNNNNNNNNNNNNNNNNNNNNNNNNNNNNNNNNNNNNNNNNNNNNNNNNNNNNNNNNNNNNNNNNNNNNNNNNNNNNNNNNNNNNNNNNNNNNNNNNNNNNNNNNNNNNNNNNNNNNNNNNNNAUCUGGGCCUCCCGGGCCCGCGCGGUCGGCUGCGAAGUGGGGCGCAGCCCGGGCGACGUGGCACGCCGUGAGUGGCUGCGGCCGGCGACGGACGCGUCCGGCCGCGGAGAGGGAAGUGGACUAGGGUUUUGCACCGCGAAUAUUUCGGAGGGGGAGGUGUUUUUAUAGGUAGAGGGAGCUAGGAGACUCCAAAUUGAGCACGGUUUUCGCCCACACGAUCGUGAUCGAACGACCUAGAGCAUGGAAGUGACUAAGGGGGGUUUUGGGCUGUUUGGAGGGGGGUUUUGCUGCAACACACAAAAGGACUUUGCGGUUACCCGGUUAACCGUUGGAGCAUCAAACGACCUCCAAAUGGAACGAAACUUGACCGGUGGUCUACCGGUGCUAUACCAAGGCCACUUGACAAGACUCGGUCCAUUCCGAGAACGUUCAACACCCGCUCACGAAAAGAAACAAGAUGGGUGCGCCGGAGGAGGUGGGAGUGCCGGAUUGCAAAACGGACAACGGGGAAAAUGCUCGGAUGCAUGAGACGAACACGUAUGCAAAUGCAAAGCACAUGAUGACAUGAUAUGAGAUGCAUGACAUGAACAAAAUGCAAAACGAAAAACAAAACCCGACCACGAAGGGAAAAUCAUAACACAUAGCCGAAAAUGGCAAGAGUUGGAGUUACAAAUAUGGAAAAUUACAUCCGGGGUGUUACAACUUCUGCGGUCUCACUUAAUUAAUUAGGAGUACUUAAGUACCACUAAUUUAUUGCUGCCUAAUUUUCCUGUCGGAGUUAAACAAAUCUUUAGUAGCACCCUAUGCUGAAUCAUGUACGUGUGUAUGUUUGUCUAUGGAGGUGAAUCAUGUGGUGGAGUAGGGAGGGAAUGCUAACUUUACCCAUUAAGAUAAUGAGGGUGCUUCUAUUUGUUAGUGUAUGUUUCAUCAACUAGUCCCACUAUUAUAGUAAUCUCACUCUCUCAAUAUAUGUGCCAACAGGGAUGCUCGAUUUUGGUGGAACUGCACAAAAACUUUGGGUGCUUCAUUGCCUCGACAGCUUCCUUCCUUUCCUGUUAGUCGCUAAUCUCGGCUUGCUUUCUUCCUUUGUUGUCAGUCGCUUGGCUUAUCUCAGUUUCCAGUCAAAGGAAAUAGUAACUGAUAUGCUACCUCACAUAGGUUGGUACUGGUCUUUAUCCUGAUUAUUGUGCUUGUCAUAUGUAUUGGUAAUUUGGUAUUGUGCUACUGUUUGCCGAUUUCAUAAAGGAGUAACUUGGAGCCUGAACUCGCAGGCAAAUCAUUACAUCGGGUGAUUUCAGUAGAACUGCACAAAAAGAUCAGAUGGACAGGCACUUAUGUUGCUGCUAUGUACUCCAAAGUUCACUCAGACAAGCAUCGAUGUUGACAAGAAGAAGUGCCUAUAUUCAUUCGAGUAUCAACCGGCAUCAACCAAUUGUCAAACUCCAAGUAUUAGGAGAGUGAACGCCAAAAAUAUUGCUUGGCGCAUAGCCCAGAAAAACGCAGUCCGGUCUUUGGUCCCAACUUGUGCCUUUUGGUUAUCGACACAUAUGGUAGCGAACUGUAUGGCAUGGAGUCUAAAGAUUCCUGACAAGUUGGUUGACGCGUAUAUUUCAUCUGGCACUUAAUCAGUCUGCACGCCAGGGAUGCUCCAUUUCAGUUGAACUACACAAAAAAUUUGGGUGGUUCAUUUUCUCAACCGCCUCCUUUCUCGUCUCCAAUGUAGAAUUUUGGCGAGCUACAUGACCAAGAUGAGCCAGUAAACUAGUUGGAUGAAAGUAGUGGACAAGUUGCUCAAACCUCCCUCGGCACGAGGCCACUAUUUGAGGAUAAACCUACAAGCAAAGUUCAGAUUGUCUGUGCUGCCUCUUAUGUACUCGAAAUUUACUCGUGCAAGCAUUAAUUUUAGCAAGAAGUACCUCCGACUGAACACCAUUUACCGGUCUGUACCCUAGGUAAUUAAAGUUCGUCCAUGGAUCAUAUUGGCUAUGAUCUCAAUCAUUUGGAUGCAUAAACAUACUGAACAUGUGUAUAUCCGAAUCUUUUUGUGAAUUAUCUAUGAAUAUUGUUGUGUGAUCUAUCAAUCAUUUGGAUCCAUAGACAUGCUGAACUUGUGUAUAUAUGAAUCUUUUUGAGUUGUUGAUCGUGAAUGUUGGCUAUGAAUAUGAACGUGUCUUGUGAACCUGAGUUUGAUACGAAUGUUUACCUUUUCUGUUGUGCUUGUGUGUGAACUUGUUAGUAUGCUUACUGUGGGGUAUGUGACGUGUGGGUGUCAACGGCACACCUUCUUCCCGAGAAGAAUUGCACCUACUUUGUUAGGGUAGCAACGGCGCAUCAGCUCUUUUUAAUCUUUUGCUCUGUCUUGCCGUAAUGUUUUCGGCCUCAAAACAAACAUAGUACUGCGUUGUUUUUAGAGCUUGAUGAAAAAUCGAGUGCUGGUUUUUGUAGGUUAGCCCGCCCAGCAAAUGGGCUACUGGUCCACCAUGGAUUGGGAGGCUAAAAAUACAAGUUGUAUGGUGCAGAGGCAAGUAAAAAACGCCAUUGAGAGCCAUCCACUGAAGAAAAAAAAUCGCUCCUGAUGUGCUUCUUCAGUCGUGCCGCCGGCCCCCUCUUUAAUCCAGUUCGCUCGGGGAUCUGGUAUCAUUUUUUUCCAGAGGGCGAACAAGUAUCAGCUAGGCCUACGUUUUGUAUUUUAACAUGCGUAGCCCACGACAUACGGUGAUAGUGGUUUCAACUUAUUUUUUGAGGUCCAUACCGGCCUAUGGGCUUUUUCUUAAAGAUCGGUAGCCCAAUGUAUUUUUUUAACCACAUUAUAUAUAUUUAUAUUAUUACUAUUAUCGUAUAUUUUAUAGAGACUUAUAUAUACAUUAUAAAAACAUCCCACGUGUUAUUAACUUAUAAAAGUAAAUGUUUAACAGAAGUUGGCAAGGAAAAAUCCUGGUUGUUUUUGACUCACAGGCAAGGAAAAUCCUGGUGAUUGCGUAGAAAAGCUUGCGAAGAUUUUAAGGACCAAUGUAAUAAUAACGCGCUUAUUUUUAUUUUGAGCAAUAACUCGCUAAUUUGUUAAUUAUGUAUAUAAAAAAUGUGCCUCUGCGGUUUAUUUUUUGAUAUUAAUUGCUCCUUCUAACAUAACAUUAUAUAUAUAACGAGCCCAGCUAAUUCGUGUACUUGAAGGAAGUGCAAAUGGGUUGGGAUUUCUUAGAUAAUAUAACUGGGCCGCAUUGACGCGAAAUUAUUUGUUCACCCAGCCCAGCAAAUGGACUGUACAUUCUAGAAAACAUGGGUUAAAUAUAUGCCACAUUUUUGCAGGCUGACAUGUGGGCCAAUAGGUCGAAGCCUACGCAGGGCGUUGUCAACUUGGUCGGCAUGCACCUUCAAUCUCUCGACUUCUUCCUCCAGCGUCGCCGGAACCGCCUGGUCCGGCCUCCGGCGGCUAGCGGCUCUGCUUAGCACGCAUCACUGCGAAGCGCUACCCCACCGCCGGCCAGGCUAUCCCUUCACCCCUCCACACCUCCUGUUAUUCUCCACUGACUGCAGCCCCACGCCGCACCAGAACCAGUUAUAACCCUUCUCCUCCACUCAAUCUGCGACUCCACUUCCGCGUCUUCCCAUCCGAGUCGUUCCCGUCCGAGGCCUCGCUGUCGUCCACCGCCUUGCUGCGCUCGGUGCGGCGUGGUCAACAAACGAGGGUCAUCGGAAGAGGACUAUACGUGGAGAGCCUGACGGCUGGGACCCACGAGUUCAUGGUCGCACGCAAGGAAAGUUCCUCCUUAUUAAGCUGAAAAAAAUGUUCCCUCCACCUGACAGCUGGGACCCACCGGCUAUAUCUUCGCACAGAAGGAAGUGCCUCCUUGUUAUGCGAAAAAAAUUAUUCCUCCCGUUGACAGCUGGGACCCGUUAGAUUUGGUGGCUGACUUGUGGGCCUACUAAGCGGACGUAUACGUAGGGCUUUGUCAACUUAAUCAACAAAUGAUUCUAGCAGCUGGACCUUUGGAUGUUAAUCCAACAGCCGUGCUCCUUCUUCAACCUCUGUUCUUGCUCCUGUCUCCCGUGGGCGGCACCGCGGCUGUGCUGCCGCGCACCCGAACCAGUCAAGUUUCCCACUCCUCUCCAUCCGCGACUCCACUGCCCCGUCUUCCCCAUCUCCGGGUCAUUCCAGUCUGGGGCCUCGCCGUCGUCCACCGGCCUUGGUGCGCUCGGUGAUACGUCUCCAACGUAUCUAUAAUUUUUGAUUGCUUCAUGCUAUAUUAUAUUCCGUUUUGGAUGAUUAAUGGGCUUUGUUAUACACUUUUAUAUUAUUUUUGGGACUAACCUAUUAACCGGAGGCCCAGCCCAAAUUCCUGUUUUUUGCCUAUUUCAGAGUUUCGCAGAAAAACAAUAUCAAACGGAGUCCAAACGGAAUGAAACCUUCGGGAACGUGAUUUUCGGAACAAAUGUGAUCCAGAGGACUUGGAGUCUACAUCAAGAAAGCAACAAGGAGAGCACGAGGCAGGGAGCGCGCCUACCCCCCUGGGCGCGCCCUCCACCCUCGUGGGGCCCACGUUGCUCCACCUACGUACUUCUUCCUCCUAUAUAUACCUACGUACCCCCAAACUAUCAUAUACGGAGCAAAAAAACUAAUUCCACCGCCGCAACCUUCUGUACACGUGAGAUCCCAUCUUGGGGCCUUUUCCGGCGCUCUGCCGGAGGGGGCAUUGAUCACGGAGGAUUUCUACAUCAACACCAUAGCCUCUCCGAUGAUGUGUGAGUAGUUUACCUCAGACCUUUGGGUCGAUAGUUAUUAGCUAGAUGGCUUCUUCUCUCUCUUUGGAUCUCAAUACAAAGUUCUCUGCGAUUCUCGUGGAGAUCUAUUCGAUGUAAUCUUCUUUUGCGGUGUGUUUGUUGAGACCGAUGAAUUGUGGGUUUAUGAUCAAGUUUAUCUAUGAACAAUAUUUGAAUCUUCUCUGAAUUCUUUUAUGUAUGAUUGGUUAUCUUUGCAAGUCUCUUCGAAUUAUCAGUUUGGUUUGGCCUACUAGAUUGAUCGUUCUUGCAAUGGGAGAAGUGCUUAGCUUUGGGUUCAAUCUUGCGGUGUCCUUUCCCAGUGACAGUAGGGGCAGCAAGGCACGUAUUGUAUUGUUGCCAUCGAGGAUAACAAGAUGGAGUUUAUAUCAUAUUGCAUGAGUUUAUCCCUCUACAUCAUGUCAUCUUACUUAAAGCAUUACUCUGUUCUUAUGAACUUAAUACUCUAGAUGCAUGCUGGAUAGCGGUCGAUGUGUGGAGUAAUAGUAGUAGAUGCAGGCAGGAGUCGGUCUACUUAUCACGGACGUGAUGCCUAUAUACAUGAUCAUACCUAGAUAUUCUCAUAACUAUGCUCAAUUCUAUCAAUUGCUCAACAGUAAUUUCUUCACCCACCAUAAUACUUAUGCUCUUGAGAGAAGCCACUAGUGAAACAUAUGGCCCCCGGGUCUAUUUUCCAUCAUAUUAAUCUCCCGUCAACAAGCUAUUUCUGACACCGUUUAUUUUGCUUUCUUUACUUUUAGUCUUUAUCAUAAAAAUACCAAAAAUAUUAUCUUAUCAUAUCUAUCAGAUCUCACUCUCGUAAGAACCGUGAAGGGAUUGACAACCCCUUUAUUGCGUUGGUUGCGAGGUUCUUAUUUGUUUGUGUAGGUGCGAGGGACUUGAGCGUGGCCUCUUACUGGAUUGAUACCUUGGUUCUCGAAACUGAGGGAAAUACUUACGCUACUUUGCUGCAUCACCCUUUCCUCUUCAAGGGAAAAACCAACGCAGUGCUCAAGAGGUAGCAAGAAGGAUUUCUGGCACCGUUGCCGGGGAGUUUACGCAAAAGUCAACAUACCAAGUACCCAUCACAAACCCUUAUCCCUCGCAUUACAUUAUUUGCCAUUUGCCUCUCGUUUUCCUCUCCCCCACUUCACCCUUGCCGUUUUAUUCGCCCUCUCUUUUCCGUUUGCCUUUUUCGCUUGCUCCUUAUAUUUUAUGUCGUUAUGUCUGAAAUUGGGGAAAUUAUUGUCGAUAUGGACAAUAAUAAUAACAUGCAAAAUUUUGAUGCUCUUGCUGAAGAACCCCCUAUCUUACAUACAAAAAAAUUCCGAAUCAGUAGUGGUAAUAUCAUUGGAAAGGGGGUUAUUCAAGAUUUCUUUACUUGUGCCGGUGCUUUGCCUUCUAUGGGCAGUUCUAUUCUCCAUAGAACUAGUAGUCUUGCGGACGCUAUCACCAUGCUUGUGGUUGAACUUGAAAGACAAUUUAUGCACAUGCAUCCUUGCAUACAAAGGAUUUUCUUAGAAUUUUCUAAUAUUGAGCAUUCUUCUGUUGAGCGUGCCGCUACUAUUUUCUUGGCUCAUGAAUUCAGAUUUAUAAUAAAAGAGGCCAAAGAAAUCUUUGCGCACUAUAGGGUGGACGCUGGCCGUCCUCCCAUAGAGGCAAUCCUCUUUGAUCAAGAGGAAAUAAUGCGUUUUCAAUCUCUGGACUAUGUUGCUUUUAAUGAAAACCUUAGAAAAAGGGUUCCUACCAAUGUUCUAGUUGAUAGAAUUUCUGAACUUAAUAAUGAUUUUGCUAUCCUAAAUAAUGAGCUAGGAUAUUCUCUGUCAGAAGAAUGCUUAUAAUGAUGAAUUGGUUGUGCAAUACGAAGGGCCGAAGGAGGAACCUAUACCUCCCAAAAUUGUUCUUGGGGACUCUUGUCCCAUUAAAUUUAGCCCUUUUGAUUACUUUUGCUUGCCUCAAAGAAAACUUGCUGCUGAACGUAGAGAAUAUGAAAUGAGUUUUCGUGAUCUAUCCUAUUAUUAUGGCAAUACCUAGAUCUAUCCUUGCUUUUAUGCCUAGCUAGGGGCGUUAAAUGAUAGCGCUUGUUGGGAGGCAACCCAAUUUUAUUUUUAGAUUUUUUUGCUUUUUGCUUCUGUUUAGGAAUAAAUAUUUGAUCUAGCCUCUGGUUAGAUUUGUUUUUAUGUUUUAAUUAGUGUUUGUGCCAAGUUAAACCUAUAGAAUCUUCUUGGAUGAUAGUUAUUUGAUCUUGCUGAAAAUUCCAGAAACUUUCUGUUCACGAAAAAAUUGUUAAAAAUCACCAGAACUUGAAAAAAUAUUCAUUCUAAUUGCAGCAGAUCAAUAAACAAAUUUUCUAGGUCUUCCUAUUUUGGUAGAUUUUUUGGAGUUCCAGAAGUUUGCGUUAGUUACAGAUUACUACAGACUGUUCUGUUUUUGACAGAUUCUGUUUUUCGUGUGUUGUUUGCUUAUUUUGAUGAAUCUAUGGCUAGUAAAAGAGUUUAUAAACCAUAGAGAAGUUGGAAUACAGUAGGUUUAACACCCAUAUAAAUAAAUAAUGAUUUCAUUACAGUACCUUCAAGUGGUGUUUUGUUUUCUUUCGCUAACGGAGCUCACGAGAUUUUCUGUUAAGUUUUGUGUUGUGAAGUUUUCAAGUUUUGGGUAAAAGAUUUGAUGGAUUAUGGAACAAGGAGUGGCAAGAGCCUAAGCUUGGGGAUGCCCAUGGCACCCCAAGAUAAUCUAAGGACACCAAAAAACCAAAGCUUGGGGAUGCCCCGGAAGGCAUCCCCUCUUUCGCCUACUUCCAUCGGUAAAUUUACUUGGAGCUAUAUUUUUAUUCACCACAUAAUAUGUGUUUUGCUUGGAGCGUCUUGUAUGAUUUGAGUCUUUACUUUUUAGUUUACCACAAUCAUCCUUGCUGUACACACCUUUUGAGAGAGACACACAUGAUUCGGAAUUUGUUAGAAUACUCUAUGUGCUUCACUUAUAUCUUUUGAGCUAUAUAGUUUUGCUCUAGUGCUUCACUUAUAUCUUUUAGAGCACGGUGGUGGAUUUUUUUAUAGAAACUAUUGUUCUCUCAUGCUUUGCUUAUAUUAUUUUGAGAGUCCUACAAAACAGCAUGGUAAUUUGCUUUAAUUAUGAUAGGCAUCCAAGAUUAGUAAAGAAAAAAUAAAUAUAAAUUUUCUUAUGAGUGUGUUGAAUACUAUGAGAAGGUUGAUGCUUGAUAAUUGUUUUGAGAUAUGAAGAUGGUGAUAUUAGAGUCAUGCUAGUUGAGUAGUUGUGAAUUUGAGAGAUACUUGUGUUAAAGUUUGUGAUUCCCGUAGCAUGCACGUAUGGUGAACGUUAUGUGAUGAAGUCGGAGCAUGAUUUAUUUAUUGAUUGUCUUCCUUAUGAGUGGCGGUCGGGGAUGAGCGAUGGUCUUUUCCUACCAAUAUAUCCCCCUAGGAGCAUGCGCGUAAUAUUUUUUUUCGAUAACUAAUAGAUUUUUGCAACAAGUAUAUGAGUUCUUCUUGACUAAUGUUGAGUCCAUGGAUUAUACGCACUCUCAUCCUUCCACCAUUGCUAGCCUCUCUAAUACCGCGCACUUUUCGCUGGUAUCAUACACCCACCAUAUACCUUCCUCAAAACAGCCACCAUACCUACCUAUCAUGGCAUUUCCAUAGCCAUUCCGAGAUAUAUUGCCAUGCAACUUUCCACCGUUCCGUUUGCUAUGACACGCUUCAUCAUUGUCAUAUUGCUUUGCAUGAUCAUGUAGUUGACAUUGUAUUUGUGGCAAAGCCACCAUUCAUAAUUCUUUCAUACAUGUCACUCUUGAUUCAUUGCAUAUCCCGGUACUCCGCCGGAGGCAUUCACAUAGAGUCAUAUUGUUCUAAGUAUUGAGUUGUAAUUCUUGAGUUGUAAGUAAAUAAAAGUGUGAUGAUCAUCAUUAUUAGAGCAUUGUCCCAAGUGAGGAAAGGAUGAUGGAGACUAUGAUUCCCCCACAAGUCAGGAUGAGACUCCGGACGAAAAAAAAGAGGCCAUAAAAAAAGAGAAAAGGCCCAAAUAAAAAAAUGAGAGAGAAGGGACAAUGCUACUAUCCUUUUACCACACUUGUGCUUCAAAGUAGCACCAUGAUCUUCAUGAUAGAGAGUCUCUUAUGUUGUCACUUUCAUAUACUAGUGGGAAUUUUUCAUUAUAGAACUUAGCUUGCAUAUUCCAAUGAUGGGCUUCCUCAAAAUGCCCUAGGUCUUCGUGAGCAAGCGAGUUGGAUGCACACCCACUUAGUUUCUUUUGUUGAGCUUUCAUAUACUUAUAGCUCUAGUGCAUCCGUUGCAUGGCAAUCCCUACUCACUCACAUUGAUAUCUAUUAAUGGGCAUCUCCAUAGCCCAUUGAUACGCCUAGUUUAUGUGAGACUAUCUUCUCCCUUUUUGUCUUCUCCACAACCACCAUUCUAUUCCACAUAUAGUGCUAUGUCCAUGGCUCACGCUCAUGUAUUGCGUGAAAAUUGAAAAAGUUUGAGAACACCAAAAGUAUGAAACAAUUGCUUGGCUUGUCAUCAGGUUUGUGCAUGAUUUAAAUACCUUGUGUGGUGAAGAUAGAGCAUAGUCAGACUAUAUGAUUUUGUAGGGAUAACUUUCUUUGGCCAUGUUAUUUUGAGAAGACAUAAUUUCUUAGUUAGUAUGCUUGAAGUAUUAUUAUUUUUAUGUCAAUAUUAAACUUUUGUCUUGAAUCUUUCGGAUCUGAAUAUUCAUACCACAAUUAAGAGAAUUACAUUGAAAAUUAUGCUAAGUAGCAUUUCGCAUCAAAAAUUCUAUUUUUAUCAUUUACCUACUCGAGGACGAGCAGGAAUUAAACUUGGGGAUGCUUGAUACGUCUCCAACAUAUCUAUAAUUUUUGAUUGCUUCAUGCUAUAUUAUAUUCUGUUUUGGAUGAUUAAUGGGCUUUGUUAUACACUUUUAUAUUAUUUUUGGGACUAACCUAUUAACCGGAGGCCCAGCCGAAAUUGCUUUUUUUGCCUAUUUCAGAGUUUCGCAGAAAAAGAAUAUCAAACGGAGUCCAAACGAAAUGAAACCUUCGGGAACGUGAUUUUCGGAACAAACAUGAUCCAGAGGACUUGGAGUCUACGUCAAGAAAGCAACCAGGAGAGCAUGAGGCAGGGGGGGCGUGCCUACCCCCCUGGGCGCGCCCUCCACCCUCAUGGGGCCCACGUUGCUCCACCGACGUACUUCUUCCUCCUAUAUAUACCUGCGUACCCCCAAACUAUCAGAUACGGAGCAAAAAACCUAAUUCCACCGCCGCAACCUUCUGUACCCGUGAGAUCCCAUCUUGGGGCCUUUUCCGGCGCUCCUCCGGAGGAGGCAUUGAUCACUGAGGGCUUCUACAUCAACACCAUAGCCUCUCCGAUGAUGUGUGAGUAGUUUACCUUAGACCUUCGGGUCCAUAGUUAUUAGCUAGAUGGCUUCUUCUCUCUCUUUGGAUCUCAAUACAAAGUUCUCUACGAUUCUCGUGGAGAUCUAUUCGAUGUAAUCUUGUUUUGCGGUGUGUUUGUUGAGACCGAUGAAUUGUGGGUUUAUGAUCAAGUUUAUCUAUGAACAAUAUUUGAAUCUUCUCUGAAUUCUUUUAUGUAUGAUUGGUUAUCUUUGCAAGUCUCUUCGAAUUAUCAGUUUGGUUUGGCCUACUAGAUUGAUCGUUCUUGCAAUGGGAGAAGUGCUUAGCUUUGGGUUCAAUCUUGCGGUGUCCUUUCCCAGUGACAGUAGGGGCAGCAAGGCACGUAUUGUAUUGUUGCCAUCGAGGAUAACAAGAUGGAGUUUAUAUCAUAUUGCAUGAGUUUAUCCCUCUACAUCAUGUCAUCUUACUUAAAGCAUUACUCUGUUCUUAUGAACUUAAUACUCUAGAUGCAUGCUGGAUAGCGGUCGAUGUGUGGAGUAAUAGUAGUAGAUGCAGGCAGGAGUCGGUCUACUUAUCACGGACGUGAUGCCUAUAUACAUGAUCAUACCUAGAUAUUCUCAUAACUAUGCUCAAUUCUAUCAAUUGCUCAACAGUGAUUUCUUCACCCACCAUAAGGAAGUGCCUCCUUAUUACGCGCAAAAUAAUUAUUCCUCCACCUGACAGCAGGGGCCCACCGGACGGGCCACCGUAUUUCGUGAAAAAAGGUUUCCCCCGUGACUGCUGGGACCCACCAGCUACAUCUUCACACGCAAGGAAGUGCGUCCAGGCAAAAAAAACGGUUCGCCCCCCUGACUGCUGGGACCGACCAGCUACAUCUUCGCACGCAAGGAAGUGCGUCCGGGCAAAAAAAAUGAUUCGCCCCCUGACUGCUGGGACCCACCAGCUACAUCUUUGCAUGCAAGGAAGUGCCUGACAGUCGGGACCUACCUGGUCGCAGCGUACGUAGCAUUGUCAUUCUGGUCGCGAACGUGUACGUACAUACUGGUCGAUGUAGAGGCGCGUACGUGUCGUAGUAGAGGCGCGCACGUGCGUAGUAGAGGCGCGCACGUAGCAUGUACACGUACGUACAGCGGCCAGGGUGCAAGAAAGUAAAUACGGCCACGUACGUACAUACGGGCGGGGUCUCGAACGCCUACUCGCGCGUACGUACAGCCAGGGCUCAUGUACAUGGCUGGGUCGGAACGAAAAAACAGCGUCGUUGUUGUGUUCAUGGGGAGCCAACCGGCUGGGUCGGAACAGAAUGCAUUGUCGUGUUCAUCGGGAGGACUUAGACGGAACAGCCGAUGGAAAUGAGGCCUGGCGUACCGCAGAACGGAGGAAACGGCCUUGUGUUCGACCGGCCACGUUCGAAACGGGAUCCUGUUCAUCGGGAGGGGUCUGGCGUACCGCAAAACGGAGGAAACGGACUUGUGUUGGAGUGCUAUGGUCGAAACGGGGGUCCUGUUGAUCGGGAGGGGUGUGGCGUACCGCAGAACGGAGGAAACGGACUUGUGUUGGAGCGCUACGGUCGAAACGGGGGUCCUGUUCAUCAGGAGGGGUGUGGCGUACCGCAAAACGGGACUCCACGGGAUACUGUUCAUCUCCACCGUCGACCCCCUCCAGCCUCCACGGGCUACUGUUCAUCCACCAUCAACCUCCUCCAGCCUCCACCUGCGACUGUUCAUCCACGGGCUCCUGUUCAUCCAGCCUCCAGCACGCGCUACUCCACCGACUACUGUUCAACCAGCCCUCUCCACGGGCUCCUGUUCAACCACCCCUCCAUGGGCUACUGUUCAUCCAGCCUCCACCGUCUAUUGUUCAUCCAGCCCUCCACGGGGUGGUCCUGUUCAUCCAGCCCUCCACGGGGUCCUCUUCAUCCAGCUCCAACCGGCUCGAUCGACCGGGGUCCUGUUCAUCCAGAGGCAACACCACGGGGUCCUGUUCAUCCACCCCCACCGGGAACUGUUCAUCCAAACCCCCCAGCAACGCUCACUAUUCAUCCAGAGGCAGCAUCGAUCGGCUUCAGUUAGCAGCAGUAGUGAAGGAAUCGCUCGAUCGGGUUCAGUUAACAGCCAUCGAUCGAUCGCUCGGGUUCAGUAACGUGUAGCCUGCAGUGCAAUCGCUCGGUUUCAAUUAGAGCCCAACGCCUCGCACCCACGCGCGUGGGUGUACGAGAGAAACACGCAUCGCUCGGCCCCGACCACCCACCGUAACCGGCAACACCCCGAUAUUUUCCUUGCACUCGCUUCUACCACGGUUUUUUCCAUCACGGACGGCCCAAAGAAUGUCAUGCAGCUGCGUCUCCGGCCCGCCCAGGACAAAAAGCCCAUUUUCUGUCAUGAUUUUAUGUCAUAGAAGUAGGAGCCCACCACAUCUAUGAUGAUACCGGGUUUUGUCACAAUUAUUGUCAUAGAAGUGUCAUAAGUAUGACAGAAAAAAGUUUCGUUCGACCCAAAAUGUCACGGAUGUGUCUUUUUUUUGUAGUGAUAUACGGAGAAAUCAUCCAUGAAAACCUCAACAAUCUUUUCACAAAAAUCAGAGAAUAUAGCCAUCAUGCAUCUUUGAAAGGUAGCAGGUGCAUUACAUAAACCAAAAGGCAUACGUCUAUAAGCAGAGGUACCGAAAGGGCAAGUAAACGUAGUCUUUCUUGAUAUUCUUUUGACACAGGUAUUUGAAAGAAACCAGAAUAACCAUCUAGAAAGCAAAAAUGUGUAUGUUUGGAUAAUCUUCCUAGCAUUUGAUCAAUAAAAGGUAAAGGGUAAUGAUCCUUUUUAGUAGCUUUAUUUAAUUUGCGGAAAUCAAUUACCAUUCUAUAACCUGUAAUAAUUCUUUGUGGGAUCAAUGCAUCUUUAUCAUUAGGAACAACAGUAAUACCUCCCUUCUUAGGGACACAAUGGACAGGACUUACCCACUGACUAUCAGCAACGGGAUAAAUUAUACCUGCCUCCAGAAGCUUUAGUAUUUCUUUUCUUACCACUUCUUUCAUCUUAGGAUUUAACCGUCGUUGGUGAUCAACAACCGGUUUAGCGUCUUUCUCCAAUUUUAUUUUGUGCUGACAUAGAGUGGGACUAAUGCCCUUAAGAUCAUCAAGAGUAUAUCCAAUAGCAGCACGGUGCUUCUUCAGAGGUUUCAAUAAUCUCUUUUCUUCAUGCUCUGAAAGGUUAGCACUAAUAAUAACAGGAUAUAUCUUCUUUUCAUCAAGAUAAGCAUAUUUAAGAGUAUCAGGUAAUGGUUUAAGCUCAGACACGGGAUCACCCUUGGGUGGAGGAUGAUCCCCUAGGAUUUCAACAGGCAAGUUGUGUUUCAAAAUAGGUCCCUGUUUAAAGAAUACUUCAUCUAUUUCCCUUCUUUCAUUCAGAAACAUAUCAUUUUCAUGGUCUAGCAAAUAUUGUUCUAAAGGAUCAUUAGGAGGCACGGCAAUAGAAGCAAGACAAAUAAUUUCAUCUUUACUAGGCAAUUCCUCAUCACGGGGUUGUCUAUGAAAUUUAGCAAAAUUAAACUCAUGAGACAUAUCCCCCAAACCAAUAGUAUCAACAUCCUUUUUGCAAUCUAUCCUAGCAUUAACAGUAUUCAAGAAGGGUCUACCAAAUAUAAUGGGACAAAAGUUAUCUUGUGGGGAACCAAGAACAAGAAAAUCAGCAGGAUAUUUAACUUUCCCACACAAGACUUCAACAUCUCUAACAAUCCCAACUGGUGAAAUAGUGUCUCUAUUGGCAAGCUUAAUUGUAACAUCAUUUCCUCUAACUCAGCAGGUGCAAUGUCAUGCAUAAUUUCUUUGUAUAAGGAAUGAGGUAUUGCACUUGCACUAGCACCCAUAUCACAUAAGCCAUGAUAACAAUGAUCUCCUAUUUUAACAGAAAUAACAGGCAUGCCUACAACAGGUCUAUGUUUAUUUUUAUUAUCAGGUCCAGCAAUUCUAGCAGCUUCAUUGCAGAAGUAAAUAACAUGCCCAUCAAUAUUAUCAGCCAAGAGAUCUUUAACCAUAGCAACGCUAGGUUCAACUUUAAUUUGCUCAGGGGGUUUGGGUGUCUUAAUGUUACUUUUGUUGACCACAGUUGAAGCUUUAGCAUGACCCUUUAUUCUAACAAGGAAAGGUGGUUUCUCAAUAUAAGCAGUAGGAACGACAGGAUCAUCAUAAGUGAUAGUCUUUUCUUCAACUUUAAUAGGUGCAACUACUUUUACUUCUAUGGGAGGAUUAUAUUUAAACCACUUCUCCUUUGGGAGAUCAACAUGAGUAGUAAAGGAUUCACAAAAAGAAGCUACUAUCUCAGAGUCAAGUAGAUAUUUAGUGCUAAAUUCACGGAAAACAUCGGUAUCCAUAAAAGAUUUAACACAAUCAAACUUAGGUGUUAUACCUGACUCCUUACCUUCAUCGAGGUCCCAAUCUUCAGAGUUGCAUUUAAUUCUUUCCAAUAAAUCCCAUUUGAAUUCAAUAGUCUUCAUCAUAAAAGAGCCAGUACAAGAAGUAUCGAGCAUGGAGCGAUUAUUGAGAGAAAGCCGAGCAUAAAAAUUUUGAACAAUCAUUUCUCUUGAGAGCUCAUGAUUGGGGCAUGAAUAUAACAUUGACUUAAGCCUCCCCCAAGCUUCAGCGACGCUUUCUCCUUCGCGAGGCCAAAAAUUAUAUAUAUAAUUACGAUCACGAUGAACAAGAUGCAUAGGAUAAAACUUCUGAUGAAAUUCCAAUUUCAAUCGGUUGUAGUUCCAUGAUCCCAUAUCAUCACAUAGACUAAACCAUGUCAAUGCCCCUCCCUUCAAAGAUAAAGGGAAGACCUUCUUCUUGAUAACAUCCUCGGACAUACUUGCAAGCUUAAAUAAUCCACAAACUUCAUCCACAUAGAUUAGGUGCAAAUCGGGAUGUAAUGUUCCAUCUCGUGUAAAAGGAUUAGCUAGCAGUUUAUCUAUCAUACCCGAAGGAAUUUCAAAGUAAACAUUUUCAGUAGGUUCAGUAGGGUGAGGAGCAACUCUUUGCUCUACUGUUCGGGGUGAAGAUACCCCGAACAAGCCCCUCAGAGGAUUAAUUUCCAUAGUAACAAGUGACAGUAAAUUUCAGCACACUAUAUAAAUUUUUCCUUACCAAAUUCCACCUACCAAAGGCGCCAGAAAAGAGUCUUGAUGACCCACAAGUAUAGGGGAUCUAUCGUAGUCCUUUCUAUAAGUAAGAGUGUCGAACCCAACGAGGAGCAGAAGGAAAUGACAAGCAGUUUUCAGUAAGGUAUUCUCUGCAAGCACUGAAAUUAUCGGUAACAGAUAGUUUUGUGAUAAGAUAAUUUGUAACGGGUAACAAGUAAUGAAAGUAAAUAAGGUGCAGCAAGAUGGCCCAAUCCUUUUUGCAGCAAAGGACAAGCCUGGACAAACUCUUAUAUAGAGAAAAGCGCUCCCGAGGACACAUGGGAAUUAUCGUCAAGCUAGUUUUCAUCACGCUCAUAUGAUUCGCGUUCAUUACUUUGAUAAUUUGGUAUGUGGGUGGACCGGUGCUUGGGUGCUGUCCUUUCUUGGACAAGCAUCCCACUUAUGAUUAACCCCUAUUGCAAGCAUCCGCAACUACAAAAGAAGUAUUAAGGUAAACCUAACCAUAGCAUAAAACAUAUGGAUCCAAAUCAGCCCCUAACGAAGCAACUCAUAAACUAGGGUUUAAGCUUCUGUCACUCUAGCAACCCAUCAUCUACUUAUUACUUCCCAAUGCCUUCCUCUAGGCCCAAACAAUGGUGAAGUGUCAUGUAGUCGACGUUCACAUAACACCACUAGAGGAAAGACAACAUAUAUCUCAUCAAAAUAUCGAACGAAUACCAAAUUCACAUGACUACUUAUAGCAAGACUUCUCCCAUGUCCUCAGGAACAAACGUAACUACUCACAAAUCAUAUUCAUGUUCAUAAUCAGAGGGGUAUUAAUAUGCAUAAAGGAUCUGAACAUAUGAUCUUCCACCAAAUAAACCAACUAGCAUCAACUACAAGGAGUAAUCAACACUACUAGCAACCCACAGGUACCAAUCUGAGGCUUUGGGACAAAGAUUGGAUACAAGAGAUGAACUAGGGUUUUAGAGGAGAUGGUGCCGGUGAAGAUGUUGAUAGAGAUUGACCCCCUCCCGAUGAGAGGAUCGUUGGUGAUGAUGAUGGCGAUGAUUUCCCCCUCCAGGAGGGAAGUUUCCCCGGCAGAACAGCUCUGCCGGAGCCCUAGAUUGGUUCUGCCAAGGUUCCGCCUCGUGGCGGCGGAGUUUCUUCCCGAAAGCUUGCUUAUGAUUUUUUUCAGGGUAAAAGACUUCAUAUAGCAGAAGAUGGGCACCAAAGGCCUGCCAGGGGGCCCACGAGGCAGGGGCGCGCCCCCCACCCUCGUGGCCAGGGUGUGGGCCCCCUCUGGUACUUUCUUUCGCCAGUAUUUUUUAUUAAUUCCAAAAAUGACUUCCGUGAAGUUUCAGGACUUUUGGAGCUGUGCAGAAUAGGUCUCUAAUAUUUGCUCCUUUUCCAGCCCAGAAUUCCAGCUGAUGGCAUUCUCCCUCUUCAUGUAAACUUGUAAAAUAAGAGAGAAUAGGCAUAAGUAGUGUGACAUAACGUGUAAUAACAGCCCAUAAUGCAAUAAAUAUCGAUAUAAAAGCAUGAUGCAAAAUGGACGUAUCAAGCGUGAGCCAUGGAUAUAGCACUAUAGGUGGAAUAGAAUAUGAUGGUGGAGGUUGUGUGGAGAAUACAAAAAGGAAGAAAGUCUCACAUCGACACGGCUAAUCAACGGGCUAUGGAGAUGCCCAUCAGUUGAUGUCAAUGCGAGGAGUAGGGAUUGCCAUGCAACGGAUGCACUAGAGCUAUAAGUGUAUGAAAGCUCAAACUGAAACUAAGUGGGUGUGCAUCCAACUUGCUUGCUCAUGAAGACCUAGGGCAAUUUGAGGAAGCCCAUCGUUGGAAUAUAUAAGCCAAGUUCCAUAAUGAAAAUUCCCACUAGUAUAUGAAAGUGAUAACUCAAGAGACUCUCUAUAUGAAGAACAUGGUGCUACUCUGAAGCACAAGUGUGGUAAAAGGAUAGUAACAUUGUCCCUUCUCUCUUUUCUCUCAUUUUUUUUAUUUUUUUUCUCUUUUUUUAGGCUUCUUUGGCCUCUCUCUUUUUUGGGUGGGCUUCUUUGGCCACUUUUAUUUUGAUAACCUCACAUGGGACAAUGUUCUAAUAAUGAUGAUCAUCACACUUUUAUUUACUUACAACUCAAUAUUACAACUCGAUACUAGAACAAAGAUAUGACUCUAUAUGAAUGCCUCCGGCGGUGUACCGGGAUGUGCAAUGAUCUAGCGUAGCAAUGAAAUCAAAAAACGGACAAGCCAUCAAAACAUCAUGCUAGCUAUCUUACGAUCAUGCAAAGCAAUAUGACAAUAAAUGAUCAAGUCAUGUAUAUGAUGAUGAUGGAAGUUGCAUGGCAAUAUAUCUCGGAAUGGCUAUGGAAAUGCCAUAAUAGGUAGGUAUGGUGGCUGUUUUGAGGAAGAUAUAAGGAGGCUUAUGUGUGAUAGAGUGUAUCAUAUCACGGGGUUUGGAUGCACCGGUGAAGUUUGCACCGACUCUCAAGGUGAGAAAGGGCAAUGCACGGUACCGAAGACGCUAGCAAUGAUGGAAGGGUGAGAGUGCGUAUAAUCCAUGGACUCAACAUUAAUCAUAAAGAACUCACAUACUUAUUGCAAAAAUCUAUUAGUCAUAGAAACAAAGUACUCUGUGCAUGCUCCUAGGGGGAUAGACUGGUAGAAAAAGACCAUCGCUCGUCCCCGACCGCCACUCAUAAGGAAGACAAUCAAUAAAUACCUCAUGCUCCAAGUUCGUUACAUAAUGGUUCACCAUAUGUGCAUGCUACGGGAAUCACAAACUUCAACGCAAGUAUUUCUGCAAUACACAACUACCCACUAGCAUGACUCUAAUGUCAUCAUCUUUUAUAUCGCAAAACUAUUGCAAGGAAUCAAACAUAUCAUAUUCAGUGAUCUACAAGUUUUAUGUAGGAUUUUAUGACUAACCAUGUGAAUGAUCAAUUCCUGUCAUCUCUCUAAAUAGAUAUAAGUGAAGCAAGAGAGUUUAAUUCUUUCUACAAAAGAUAUGCCCACGCUCUAACAAAUAUAAGUGAAGCAAAGGAGCAUUCUACAAAUGGCGGUUUUCUAUGUGAAGAGAAACAGGCAAUCCAAACUUCAAAUGAUAUAAGUGAAGCACACGAAGCAUUCUAUAAAGCCAUACUCAAAAGAUAUAAGUGAAGUGCAAAGAGCAUUCUAUAAAUCAACCAUGGACUAUCUCAUACCAGCAUGGUGC
rnacentral:lncRNA from 1 species